rnacentral:lncRNA from 1 species
UUAGGAUUUGAUUAGGAUUUGAUUUGGAUUAAGAUUUGAUUAGGGUUUAAGGUUUAGGAUUUGGUUGGGAUUAGGAUUUGGUUAGGAUUUAGAGUUAGAAUUUGACUAGGAUUUGACUAGGAUUUGGAAUUGAUUAGGAUUUGUUAGGGUUAGGAUUUAUCUAAAAUUUGACUAGGGUAUGUUUAGAGUUUGUCUAGGGUUUGAUUAAGGUUGGAUUAGGAUUAGGAUUUGGUUAGAAUUUAAGGUUUAUUUAGAUUUUUGUUAGGGUUUGACUAAAUUUUCUUUAAUAUUCUUUUAUAUUUCUUUAAGAUUUUCUUGUGUUUCUUUUAUAACUUCAAUAAAAUUUAAUUGAGCUUUUUUAAUGUUUGAUUAUGAUUAUUAACAUUUAAUUAUAAUUUCUCUAUAAUCCUAUUGGAUUGUUAAGACCUUUUGUUUCAAUUUUCUUUUACCUUCCACAGCCAGGUCUCUGGUGCAUUCUCAAGCAAGACUUCACGUAAUAUGACAACGUGAUGAGCUGUAUGUUGUCUUGAGCGUUGGUAUUCACGACGUUGGAAUAGGCAGUUAUCACACUUCACAGCUUGGCUAAUGGCUUCGUUGAACAUUCACGAAUUGAGAAGAGAUAAUAACAAAUCCUUCACGUCAUCCCUCAAGUUAUAAUAAAAUUGACUCAUGAAUGCUUCCUCAUCCCAAUUGAUGCCUCAGGCUAAUUGUCUAAAAUAUGAUGCUUAGACUAACACGGAGCAUGUCCCUUGUCAUAGCGACUGGAUCUUUUUUGUAGCCCAUCAUGCCUUGUCAUAUUCGCCAAAUGCUUCCGCAAACGCUUCCAAAAAAGUUUCAAAGUUGUUCAAAAUUGACGAUCUUUUUUCAAACAAAGGAGCAAACCAUGAUAGAGCUUGCCUCGUGAGCAAAGUUCCAACAAGUCCAACACAUAACUCCUCCGUCGGAUAGCAUUCUGGCUGUAAAGCUAUUAUCAAUCUAAUUUGAUUAACAAAACCUCAAAACUUGGAACGUGUACUAUCAAACUUAUCCGGAAGACUAAUUUGGAGCUCCUUUUGUUGUAAGACCAACGAUUCUUGUUGAAUUAGAGGUAAAGCUGCUUCUCUUGAUACUGAAGCUUGAAGCUCAUGAAUCUUCGAUUAUGCCAUCUCGGAUGCUCCAUCAUUAUGAAGUCUUGCAAUGAUUCCUUCAAUCUCUACAAUUUUCCAUGAUAACGUAGCAAGAGCAUACAUAAUGGCAUCCAACUUGGACUCUGAACUUUCAGUCAUACUAAUAUCUUGACCUCAGGCCAUUCUAAGAGAAGGAUAGAAAUAAUUCUACAAGAAGAUAGUAUUGGUUUAGAGGAGGGUAUUCCAUAACUUCUAAAGCACCUUAAAAGCUUCAAAAAGAUGGAUAAUCCACUCUCUCCAAGAAAGAUAAGACUCCAAUAUUAUAAUAGAAGAAAUAUCAGUUUACAGGAAGGUAAUCUGCAACCUCUAAAAUGCCAGCACCUUCAAGCAGAGGGAUAAUCCACAUUCCAAUAAGAAAGAACUAGCUUUGAUAUAAAAGAUGAGUGUAGUCUUGACAAACUGUCACAAAUUUAGAAUACUGAUUGAAAAUCUAAACAAGAAGCUCAAGAAGAAUCAGAAAGAACUAGAUUAAUCAGAUGAGUAUAAAAACAACACUAGAGAGAUGAGCUAGAACUUGAAGUGGUGUGUUGUCAAGACUAAGGAUCCCCUCAAUCUCGGCUCCUAUAUAUACUACAAACUAAGAAGCUUCUCAAGUAGCUUCCAUAAGCUAGGAAGCUUCUCAAGUAGCUUCAAUAAACUAGGAAGCUUCUCAAGCACCUUCUACGAGCUUGAAAACUUUUCAAGUAGCUUCUACAAACUACAAAGCUUCUUUAGAACCUUCUAAAAUCUUCUACAACUUUCUAGUGUAUGUCCUUGAGAGCUUGUUGGAAUGUAUCCUUAUUAAGGUUUGAUUUCAAGAUGACAUAUCGACUUGAAAAAUAAUAAGGUUUGUCAAACAUUCUUUCUAAACAUUCUUAUCUUGCAUCAAAAGAAGGAGAUGUAUCUUUUCAUCAACAAAGUAUGAUUCUCUUAAAGCCCGAGUAUUUUUAUCAGGUCAUUUGAUUACUAUGGGUACAAGUAUUGUAAGUUGCAGGCCGGCGCAUUUGCCCUGGCAUGUCGCUCGCCGCCAUCAACGCACCCCCUAUUCUUGCACACCGUGUGCACAGCUUUGACUGACGAUUGACCGAAACCCUCGUGAAUUGGACAUGACGGAGAAAUCCGACAGCGUCAUGGCGUCGCGGUUGUAUCCUCUGCUUAUCAUCGCUCAGCCCCGAAAACCAGCGUUCCUCUAUUAUCCAAAAGAAGCUUGAGUGAAUUAAUCCAUAACGUGUGUGGGGAUGCGCAGACCACGAGCCUUGGACACGAUCCGAACUCUCGUCAAAUAUUUCCUUCCACGAUGAGAUCCUCAUCAUAGUUUGAUGGAUCAGGUGUAGAAUAAAUUUCAUGUAUAGGAUUCCAACUCUCGUCAAUUAGGCACCUUCAUGUUGAUAAUCUUGUUUAAGUUUGAAGAUCCACGUGUAGAAAAAAUUUCGUAAGUAGAGAUUUGGUCAUGUCGAGAUCAUUACUGAUCUCUUUUAAUAGAACGAGGAUAUCAGACAACUCUGAACAAUUGUACGAUCAAUUCUCUAGCGAAUUCUCAUUAAUUCAGUAUCUUGUUAAAAUCGUUAGAAUUUAUGAAAAAUUGUUAAGAUAUACUAUUACACUUUCUGAAGCUUGUAAGUGUGUUGUAAAUUGUUUAUUGUAUGUUUUGGUUAUAAGAUGAGGUUGAAUCUGGUGUGCGGAUUUUUGCAUCUAGUCAUUGCGGUCAUUUGAUUACUAUGGGUACAAGUAUUGUAAGUUACAAACUACCAUCUUUAUACAAGUAUAAGUUUUUUUUUAAUUCAGUGUAUUCAAUCCUUCAAAUUGUUACAGUGUGUUCAAAACAGAAACUCCUUAUUAUUCAAUCAUCUAUUAAUGCAUUCUAGAAAAGUGUAAAAAAGAGAUUUCUAUGUGGAAUAAUUGCGAAAUCACAUUUUUCAGCAGUAGGAUAUAACAGAACCUGGUUAUGAUUCAUUAUCUUAUCAUAUUUAGAGAUUUCAUUUGUACAUUGAAUAUCGUAAAAUAUAUUUUUGUAACAUGGUUUGAAAAAUAAUUGAACCUGAUCUUUAAAUUUUUGUGGUUCCCCAAGUAUGAUUUUUGUGAGUUUAAUGCUUCUAUUUUUGGGGUUUUAUAACUUUUAAUCUAAUCUUCGGCAUUGUUUUAAAUUGUGGCAUGUAUAUUUUCAACAACUACGUCUUGUCACUAGAUUAUUUCUGAAUAUCCUGUGUUAAACUUUAUAGAUAGAACAUCUAUAUAUUAUAUAUUUGCAAAAAUGCAUUUUCAACAAUGAUAUUAACAAGAAUAGAUAUUUUACAAUUGAUGAUUGCCAAUAAAAUUAUACUUACAAUUUAUUUGUUGUGUGAAAAAAUCACUGUGAAACUUCAAAUAUUAUUUAUAAAAAAUUCAAAAUCUAAAAAAAUAUUCCAAGUUUUUUUAUUUUUUAAUAUUUAUUUAGAACGAAACAAAAUUAAAGAACAAAAAAAGUUACACAUUUCAAAAAGUAAAGUAAAUUUUAUGCUCAUAUUAUCAAGAAUUUAUUUUGAAAAUAGCUUUUGUAACCGACAGCAAAUAAAUAAUUUGUUCCAAUAGUUACAUUGUGUGCAUAGAUUUUUAAAAUACGGUAUCUUUUGCAAAGAAUGCACAAUUGAAGAAAAGAAAAGAAGAACAAAAGAACAAAAGUGGAUCAGUGUAAACACUCUAAUUGAUUCUAACACCUAAAUUUUUUUAAAGUAUAAUGCCAUCAAGAACUUUUAUUUAUUAAUUUUUAGUUUUAGUAAUAUUGCUAUAAGGCCAACAUCUCAAAUGUUUAUCAUUUAUAUAAAAGAAAACAAAGGAAAAGAACAUGUAUACUGAAAUUAUUUUGUAAGACAUUAAUUUUUUCUCAAUGUUUUAUUCAAAUUCUUGAAUUGCUUACAUUAUUUCGGAUUUCACACAUUUCAUGGUUUUUCGUAAAUUCUCUUAAAAAAUAACUAAAAAAAUCGAAAUAAAGAAACUUCACACACUACAUUUUGAGGCCAAUUUCAGAGAAACAAAUGAAAACAUAUGAUACCAUCAUCCAUCCACACACCCACCCAUCCGUAUAUACGAAUGAAUUUAUCAGGAGAUGACGGCAUUCAUCCAUAGGCCGUGCGAGCUUCCCUUCUGUGACAGAAGGAAUGUUGCAAUGGAAGGGUUGAGAGAGAGCCUCCUCCUCCACCAUACCCUUUCAAUCACGGCCCACCGCCCUCAUUCUCGCGUCCUCUGCAUCCUCGUCUAUUGUGCACGCGACGUCAACAAUUCCCUUCCUGUGAUGUCGCAUCGGCUUCACGCCACCGAAGUCUCCUUGUUUGUGGACACCAUGUGAGGCAUAGCUGCUCGCGAUCGGUGGCGAUCAUUGCGGGCUGCAAGAGCAGCUCUCCUCCGCCGUCCUCUACGUCAGCGUCGAAUUUCUUCCGAUGGUGAGGCCCCUGGUUGCGAAAGCGCUUUGUUAGCUUUGAAUGUCGCAGAUCGGGAAGAGUGAUCGGAAGUGUAUGCGAUUGGCAUUGUUACGGCGGUGGAUGAGAACUGUCCGGAUAUCGUGCACAUUGAAUGUGCGUAACGUGCCGAUGUCGCUUUUUUUUCGAUUGAUUAGACAAUAACGUUAGCUUGUGUCUUAGCUUAUUUCAUUACAUUGUGAUCGCAGUGGAAUUUCCGUGAGGUAGUAAUUCAGAUUUUGGCUCUAUAUUUUUAGAAGUGCGAAAUAGGAUCCAUCUUGGUUUGUUAAAUUCUUCCACAUUAUAUUUUAUGAGAUUAGUGGUGAUUUAUACCUGUGGGAGUUUCAAAGGAUUUUUAUGAUUCCUUCAAUGCUUACGCUGGCUUCCAGUGUUAUUAUUAUUUUUAUUAUUUUUUGUUUUUAUUUUAUUUUUUUGUUUUUGUUUUAAAAGUCACUCUAAAAUUCACUUGAUAUUGAUCCUUUCGUUUGUUCCUUCGUUCUGUCAAAAUGAUUAUUUUGACUUGUAUUUUGUAUAACUUCUCUUAUUUGUCAAUAUUAUUUCUGCUGAUACGCUCCACAUUAUCCCUGAGAUUCUUGUGGUUAGUUGUGAGUUACUUGCUAACCAUGGGCAUUUCAUGAUUACGCGGCAAUUUGCACUGUAGCAAGAGCAACCAGCUCACUAGCUCAAUGUCUUUCUCGUCCUUUUCUCCUUUUGGAAAUGACAACAUUGUUAUCUCUGGGAAGCAAUACAGUGGUUGUAUGCCAUUCCACGGAAGUACGUUGUUUCUACUGUAAGCUAUUCAUGGAAAGUGUUGAUGAAUUUGUCUUCAUUUUGCAGUGAGGCACUAAGAGUCAAGUCUAUUCCCUAACAAUAUUUCUUUGAUUUGGUGUUUGUAGGAGAAAGAUACUACCACAGAUGUUGAGGAAGAGGAGCCUCUCCCAUCUCCAGUUCCAGGAGUGGAGAUGCUUCCACCUGAUAUCGCAGAUAAAAGGUUUGUUUUGUUUUUUGUUUUUAUUUUGAGUAUAUACUAUCUUCUCUGCGUAAGGGAUUGAAUGAGUUUCGAUUCCACGAAUGUUCUGAUUAUUCAACGAAUGCAACUUGAUGUGUGAGAAGAUUUCUGCAUUUUUCCCAAUGUGGAGUUUUCUGGAUACGGAACCUGCAAUCCGUAGAUUUGUAAUCAUCAGCCGGUUAAGUUGAAAGGUUCAUGAAAAUUGCAGAUUCGCACUGACUUUGGAGACAAUGAAGAAUGAUGAAAAUUAUCUAUGGAUGGAACUCAGCAAAUGUCGCAUCACCGACAGUCGUAUACGGAAAGUGAGGGCGACAUUCUCACACUUCGGCCAAAUGAUACCUUGCUAUUCUUGUUGAUGGUAUUCAACGCUAGAUUCCAGUGUUUAAAUAAUGUUUUCGUGCACCAUAAUUUUGACUCAUUUAUUUUUCUGUGUGCUUUAAUGGUGAUAAUGAAUGAUGUCUCUUUACAUGUAAAAAUUAGCUUAUUAGCGAUUGCAGGGGCUUUGUUGGACUUGGUGCAGCUCUUUGCAGCUUUGAAGGAUAAUACGUCGAUGACAUCUAUCGAUCUUUCAAACAAUGUGAUUACAGACGAAGGCAUGAGCUUUUUAACGGGAGCUUUAGCUGUUGGAAUGGUACCAAACCUUCUUCGUAUAAAUCUUCAGGGUAAUCCUAUCAGCAGCAAAGGCCGAGAGCUACUUGCUGGACUGUAUCAUUUACGUAAGCAGCUCUUGGUAAGUCAAAUAACUUCAAUUAACUCCGUGUAGAUUAUAUGUUUAUCAUCGAUUAUUAUUUUAUUUUAUAAUUUUUUAAUAGAAUUGUGAAUUUUCUUGCGGUCUGCUCAAAUUCCAUCGCAACCUUCAUUGGGCUUGACUACCGUGUGAAAUGGUGUUAUUCGAUUGUCAAUUCUGCUACCACGGUCUAUUAGGAUUUCAUUAGAACUUGAUCAUUUCACUUCAACAGCUUUGAGUUGGUGUUGUGCUUGGCUGGGUUACAUAAGUACCUUGUUGACGAGCUUAUGAUGAUCUGAGAUAACCUGGUGACGUUUGUUCUUGCAUGAGUCCAGGUCGAGUAUGAUAUGGUUGAAGAACCAAGUGAAGGAGAAUCAGAUUUGUCUGUAGCAGAUGAUUUGCAGGAAAACUUUCCAAGAAGCAAAUGGAUUGGGAAUUGCACCGAGGCAAAUGGACCAGAAGACCCAGAAGCUCAAGACUUGUUUUCUUCUGCACAACGGCAGCGAGCUUGCGAUCCCCAUCUUCUAGAAGAGCAGGUAGGAAGUUCCCAGCAUCUAGAAGAGCAGCUAUUAAUUACAAAGCAGGGAGAGCCGGUAUUAACUGAGCAACAAGAAGAGUAGGUAUCAAUUGGGUGAUAGAAAGGAUAGGUAUAAAGGAAUAGUAUUCGCUGUUGUUUAAAAGGAGUAAAUAGCAGCUCUAAGCAGCGUGUAAGUCUUUUUCUGAAGAUUAAGUCGUGUUCAGCAAUAACAACAAUAUGAUUAAUCGCACUGACCUAAUCAUAUAAAUGAACUACGCGUGCGGUGUUGAAGCCUGACUCUGAAACAAAGAAGCAAUAUGUAGUCAAUUUCAAUCAUUAUCGCGUUAUCCUUAUUUACAACUGCCAUCCUGGUUUGAAGUUGUAUGGGAGUAUCUAGGAUCUCUUCUUAUUAGAGACAAUUUGGUCAAUCUGGAUGUGGCCGUAGAGUUGUUAUUCACCAACUUAUUCAGUAUUUUCCUAUGCUCAUCCGCAAAAACUAUGGUAUUGACAUCAUUGGGAUGCAGGCUGAGUUGUUGAUGCAAGUAUUGCAGCAGAGUGCAACCAAAAGCAUGUCACCAGCAGAGCUCGCUUCGAAUUUGAAGCAAUUGGGAGGGGUCUUAACUCAUUUGUUGGAGAUUCACCGAGAAAAGUUGCCGGAAUGGGCAUCUGCUGACCAACUUCCAAAGGUUUGUUUUUAAUUGACUUCACUCCUUCUUGGAUGUUAAAGGUAUUAUACACCUGAAUUAUUCUUUAUUGACUUAAAAAAAUUUCUCUCCAUAUUUUGUGUAGCUUCUUCUUUUAACGGUCUCUGCUAGACACUAUAAACAAAAAUUGCUUUUAAAGUUCUGAGCUAAUUUGAAAACCACGACUAAGUUGUAUGAAGUUGGAGGAAUGUGGCAUGCUUGUAACUCAACUUUUGUGUCCUAUGACUUCGACAUGGAGCUUAUGUCUAAGUACUGAAUACUCAGAGGUUUGUGGUUUUAUUCUGCUGAUCUGAGCAGGGUCUAAAGGAGGUAGUGGAAAACAUCAAGACAUUGACCCUCAUGUUAGAUUUGCCUGCAGCACCACAUCAGUCCCAACGUCGCACUGAGGAAGCUUCUGCAGGUUUACAUCGUAUAGCCGUAGUUAAUGUGCUUGGUCAGCUCCUCGGGGCAGGGUGUCCUGCCAUAGAUGGCCUGCUCCUCAUCCAGGCUGUUCCAAGCAGACUUAUAGCCCUCUUCUUCCAGUACCCUUGGAACAGCAUGUUGCAAGCGGCCCUCUGCAAAUGUUUUCUUGUAAGUUGGUCUUUUUGUGAAAUUAAGUAUAAGUCAAAAACAUCUCUAUAGCUAUUGCUGUAAACAUUUCUACAAGUUAAAGUCAGCUUCAUGGAGUUUUUUAUUAUUUUUGUCAAGUAGCGUGUAAAGCCUCUAAGUCUUACGAAAUAUAGCAGUUUUGAAAAUCUUUUAUUUUUUCAUGUUCAGGUCGCACGUUAUUUAGUACGUAGCUUUUUACUUUUACUUUUGGGGGUGGUUAAUAAUUAGGCAUCUUUUUGCAAAGUAGAGUGGGUAAUUUCAUGAGUAGAUAAUUUCAUUAGGUACUGAAAUUCAAGUUGAACUUGACGCACUUUGACUACUCAAUUUACCUUGAUGUGUAGUUCUGAGCAAACUCUAGUGACGUGCAUGAAAUUGAAUUGCUGCGACUUAUUUCAUCCCUCUCAUUGUCCUCGAUUCAGGCAGUUUUAGAUCGACCUGGAACGCUUGUAUGCUCAGCUAUUCUUGCGGGAGGAACUGGACUUCCCACUCUCUGUGCCAAAGUUGGUAGUGAAUGUGCUACUUUAGUUAUGAGCAAUAGACCCGGGUGAGUUACUCCUAAUACAUGACUUCUGAUUAUUGUAAUUUUUUGGUUUUGCUCUGAAUCUUGAAUGUAUAGUCACACUAUUUGGUGCCCAGGCUCGCUGUAGUACCGUCAGACUUUUCUACUUCUAGAUUUUAGUUUUUUCUAAAUACAGUUCAGUUAUAGGCUUCUUAAUUUGAUUUAAGCUUGCUCGGAUUACGACAUGGAAUUUUUUUCCUGUAAGCAAACUGUUACAAUUUAUUAACACUUAACAAUGUUUCAUUAUGUGGAUGGUUAUCUUAGGUAUGCUGGUUACAUUGUGAAGCUAUCUAAAACUCUGCAGGUGCUGGGGGAGAAGGAUGCAUCUGUUAAUGUAAUUUUCGUAACCACUGUGUUCCUUGUCCGUUGAUAUUUAGUGAGAUAUUUAAUACCAUGAGAUGAGAUCUGCCACAAAUUGGAUGGAAAGUGCUGCAUUGGUAUUUUCUAUUUUAAAAUCAAAGUUGCUUCCCACAGAUAUUUCAGAAAGUUUAGCGUAAUCUCCUGAUUUAGCUCAACUAAACCGUUUUUGUGGGGCUCAUGCGAUCAGGAGUUACUGCAGCAAAGUGACCAAUGGGUUAUCUUCGCUGGCGUAGAUGGUUUGUUGAGCAAACUAGUGACCGAGCAAACAGGCCAUUUAGGAGGACCAAAGCCUGUUCUAGCACGCUCCAUGGCACCAUUUUUUCAAAACAACCCAGGCAGGUCCUCUGCAGCUUUUGAACAGUUUCGAGGCCUUGUUCUCACGUGAACUGUAUGCACCCUACCACAUUUCAGUAUGUAGAUGUCUCUGCAGCUUUGUUGACCAGAUAUAUUUGAAGAACAUUUUUUAGCUCAGGACUCGUCACAUUGUGCUAAGUCUUGUCAAGCCUGGGAUGUUCGUGUACACUGCACCCAGCGCCCUGGACAAUUUAGCUAUCAGAAAGUGUACGAUGCCAAGGUAGCUAGUUCCUUUUGAACCUUUCGUGCGGUGCAUAAUCUUCAGCAAUUCUUAUAUGUAAUCUUUUUUUCCCUUUAUUGCUGAUUUAUAAGGCUUUCAUUUGGUUUAUUGCAGGUUCGUGUAGGACAGAUGACCCCUUUCUGUUCAAAUCAAAUGACGCUUUUAAUAGUUAAAGAGUCACCCUAGCAGCCAAACGUUCGGACUGAUUUAGGUGCAAUUCGAGUUGCUCCUUAUGUGCUAGUCUCUAUGAUUUGUGAUUAGUUUUGGCCUUUUUGGAGACGCUGAGUCUUUUUGUUGUUCCAAAAUUAGAAAUUUCACCAAUUUUUUGAGCAAAGUAUUAAGAGUUUAAUUAGAACGCAUGAGCAUAAGCUGAGAACAUAAACACGUAGGAUGAAUAUUGGCAAUACUUUGUAUCACAUAAUACUGCUUGCUCAUGAGAUGAGCUGCCCUUGACCUGAGUUGUCAACAAUUUGACCGUCACCGUUUUUACUCCUGUAUAUGUAUUCUGCUGUCCUUUGGAACUGCAUUAAGCCUGGUAUGAAAAGAUUAUUAUCAGCAAUCUGAUCUGUCAAAAAUGAUUCUGGUUUAAGUGAUUCGCAUCAAUCUAUAACAUACAAGAAAUUAUCGAACUGAGUUAAAUACGGAUACAAACAUGUGGUAAACUUAGAUUGGUUUACAGGAUUCAGGUUCAAAUUAGAAUUAUUCAAUUUGAUGAACAUGGUAUUGGUUACUACGUAAAAAUUUAUAAAUUUACAAAUAAGAUUAGCCUAUUUAAGAUGCUUUUCUGGAUAUUUUAUAUUUAAGAUUGGUUUCUUUUCAAAAUUGUAUACUUGAAGGGCUAUCUACUUAAACUUGGUUGCAAUAUGGAAUGACACAUAGAGGCAACUAGAAUAGCAUUACUUUCAAAAAAGUUAAAGUUACAUUAAACAAAAAUGUAUAAACUUUGUUAAUUAUGUAAAGAGUAAAAUUAUCUAAUUAUGUUAAAACUUAGAUCCAACGCUGAAUUUUUUAUUGAAAAUAUUUGUUCUUUAUAUGAAUUCAAUAAAGAAAAAACUUAGAUUGUAUUCCUGUCAUAUUUGAUGUAAAAGUGAAUCAUAUUAUAAAACUUCAAUAUGCCUUUAUGUUUUUAUAACAUAUUUGUUUUAGCAAAAAAUUAUGAAAAAUAAUUUUACUAGAGAAUUUUUAAAAAUUGUUAAAAAUAAUUUUACUAGAGAAUAUAAUAAAGACUUCUCCUAAUUUAAAAUAAGUCUUAUUGAUGUAAAAUUAAGUACAACUAGACAUUAACCUCCAACCUUUUAGUUAUCCUACCAAAACAUCUUAAGUUAUGUUGUUAGGAUUUUAUUUAAAGAGUAAUUUUUUAUUAGUAUUUGUGGUUUUUAGGAUAACAAUAUCCUUUAUUGAAAAACUUUUACACAUUCCUAGGGCAAUUUCAAUCUAUAUGUUUGAUUUUUGAGUUUUAGUUUAAACAAUAUAUAUGUAUAUAUAUAUAUAUAUAUAUAUAUAUGCUGGUUAGACACCCUUCUUUUAUUGUUCAGACACCUCCCUUAUUACACACCCUUGCAUUGAGUAAUAUCAAUGUCACAUCAUUAUUUUAUACUCUACAGUCUUGAUCUCAAACAAUUAUAUCACAUACCUAUCAACGUGUUGAUCUUUUGAUAAAUUUUAAUAUUGAAUAUUAUAAUUGGACUGUACUUAAAAUCAUAAUCAUGAAAUAAAUAAGGGAAUCACUAAUAAUAAUAGACAGCAACAAAAAUUAUUAAGAGACAAAAAUUUGGGUAAAAAUGUAAUAUGAUCAUUAGGGGAGGGGACAGGAGAGCAAGGUCGUGAAAUAUAAAAUAAUAAUAAUAAAACAAUGAUAUUACUCUGCUUAUGUGAAGGUGCAUGGCAGCAAGAGGAGGGGAUCUAUGUAGUAAAAGAGAGAUGUCCAUCUAGGAGUUCUUUUAAAAAAUCAUACAAUGGUUCUUCUAUGCUUGUAAACGUCUAUGACAAAUACCAAUCAAACAUAGGAGAUACAUAAAUUGAUGUUAUAUAAUUUAAAUUUUUCACAUCAGAAGAAAAAUAAUCUAAUGUCAAUAAUAUUAAGUUAGUAGUUAGUUUGUGAAGGACAAAAUUGUAUUGUCUAGCAUUAGCCAAAAAGAGAGACAAAAAUACAAAACAACCAAUGUAAUUCUGAUACAAGUUCAUAUAGUUACACUAAUAAUUGUUUAGGUAGAUUGUUAUAUAACAUCUUCUUGUGAAAGUAUUAUAUGAACUUUUAAAGUCUUUGCUUAUUUUGUAAUAUAAGUUUUUUAGGAUCUACAACCUUAUGUUGUCUAAGCCUACUUCAGUAGAUUUUGGUGUUUAUGCUUUUUUUUUUGAUAAAAAUAUUAUAAAAUAUUGGUAUUAAAAAAUUUAAAAUUAUACAUGUGGAAUAUAUAUUUAUAAAAGUCUACUAUUAUUUAAUGUUAUAAAGUCUUCAAUAAAUCCUAUCAUUUUGGAUUUAUUUUGGUUUAAAAACUAUAAUCCUUAAAUAGGUGGAAUAUAUUAUAUUCUUAGAUUUUAUCUUUGAAAAAAUAUUUAUAAAAUUUGUUUUAUGCCUAUUAAAGUUUUUCAUCAAUUUUUUGGAAUAAAGAAAUUUAUAUAAGCAAUAUAUAUUUAUAUAUAUAUAUAUAUAUAUAUAUAUAAUGCUUGUUAAUUUUUGCAACUCUUAGUUUUUAUCUAAGUAGGAAUUAUAAUAAUAUCUUAGAAUAAUAUAAAGAAUUUUAAGAUGUAAUUAAAAAUAAAAUAUCAAUAUUUUUUCUACAUUUUAUCUAUUUAAUAAAAUAUUGGAUCUUAAAAAGAAAUCCAACUACCAUUUGGAUUAACUACUUAUUUAUAUUAAAAAAUAUAUUGACAAAAAGCUUAUAAAGAAUUAUAAUUAAGCUUUAAGAUCUUUUAGAAUUAUAAUAAUUUCUUUGGAAAAAAAAAUAGAGAUCCUUAUGCAUAUAUGCAUACUAUUCUGGACUUAAUAAAUCAACUUCUAAAAGUUAUUAGAUUUUUUUUAGUAUGAGAAUUUCCUCACCAACAAAGCAAGGCUAAGAUUUAUACUAGAUUUAAUCUUUAGAGAGAUUAAUAUCUAAUAUAUAUUAAAAAAUAUACAUAAAUAUACAUAUACAUAUAUUUUUUUUUUACAUAUCAUUCUAAAAUAAUUUAUAUUUUUUAGAAUGUUUGUUCUAAAAAAUCCUAUCUUGCAUAACAGAAAGGUUUUUUUAUAUAAUCAAUAGUAUAUUAUCUUUUUGAAAGUAAAGAAAUUUCAUAUUUAAUAUAUAAACUCAAGAAUCUAAUUUUUAUUUAAUUAUUUUUACGAAUUUUGUUUAACCAUGUUAGCAAACUAAUAUUUUUUAAUAAAUAAAUAGCUUAUGAGGUGAUUUAAAUAAAAAUUAUUAAAAAAGACCACCUUUUUCAUCAUAAAAGAUUUUUUUAUAUAUUAUAGAAGUUAAAGAAAAUAUGUCUUUUUAAUAAUAUGAUAUUUUUUAUAAAAAAAUACAUAUAAAAUUUAUUUCAAAAAUACUUUGAUGGCUUCAAACUUCAAUAUUCAUUAAAGAUUAUUAAAGGUUGAUAUUAAAUUAUUUUUACCUAUUUCUUCAUAUGUCAUAAAUAAAAAAAAUUAUAUAAAUCAAAUAUUAGAUUUUAUUUUUAAUAUACCAUCAAAUAUAUUUAAGAAAUUGAAUAAUAUUUUAAAUGCUAGAACGUUUUUUAAUAAUAAUAACAUAAACAUUUUUAUGCAAAAAAUAUUAAUUUUUCUAAAUUUUAAGUAUUAUCUAUUAUUUGAUAUUUUUUACUUAAAAAAUUCAACUAAUAGAGUAUUCUUAAAAAAAAAAUAUUAAAACUUUACAAGGUAUUAAAAUAACAACUAUAAGAAAUUAAAAGAACAAAUUAAAACCAAAAAAAAUAAUUAAAAUAAAUUAUGUUUUAUCAAAAAUAAAACUUCUUAUCAAUGUGUCAAGAUACAUAAUUUCUUUGACAUAAUAUCAAUACGAAUUAAUCUUAUGAUAAAUUAGAUUAUUAAUAACUAAAACCAUUUAUUACUUAAAAGAAUCAAUUUGGUUACAUAUUAAUUGUAACUACCAUAGUUAACAAUGACUAUGUUCCAUUAAGUUUUACUCAAUUAAAUAAUUUGAUGGACAUAUUGAAAAUGAAGAAAUUAUCAACACCUCUUUUUGAAAUCAAUAAAAUUAAAAUUUUAAAGUAGAUUUUUUUUUAAUUCAAAAUAAUAUUAAAAUUACUUAGAAUAUCUUAUAAAUUGAUGGAAAUAUAAUAUUAGUGAACAGACUUGAAAGUUAUACAAGGAUCUUAAAAAUAAGCUGGAAUUGGUUUUUUAAAAUUUAUUAAAUAAUACCAAUCCAAAUCAAAGACUACAACAUAUGCAUAUAUUAGUUAAAUAAUUAGAAGUGGGUAGAAAUAGGUAGAAGUAUAUUUGUUUGAUAUUAUCUCGUUAAGUUGUAUUAUAGAUUCUUCUUAUAUGCAAUUUGAAUCUAUAAGCACCAUAAGAUGUUGUACAUAAUUGACACAUGACUUGGUGAGUUGGCCACAUGUUACAUAUGUUAGCUACUUGUCUCACCUACCACAUAAUCUUUAGAAAGACUACACAUAACUUCCUUAGUAGCUAACAUGUAUGGAGAUAACAAUGAGGCCAUCUUAAUUAUUGUCAUUUUUAUUUAUUUAUUUAUUUAUUUUUCCCUCUAUUCUUCAAUGAUACAUGAAUAUAUUGUCUUUUGAGUUUUGUCUAGAUUUAUAUCUUUGACAAAGACCAACUAUUGAUACUGACAUGGUAUAAAAAAUUUAAAACUUUAAAAAAUUUAUAAAAUUAUGAAAUAAAUAAAUAACAUGUAUACAUUUUUGGAUUUAUUAAGAUGUAAAAUUAAAAUUCAACAUAUUUAAUUUAAAAAAUAUCAUUUAUAAAAUUACCAAAUAAACUAUUUAGAUUGUCUUAACUAUCAAAAUGUCAGAUUUAAAUUGCAAAUAUUUUAAAAAGGCAUAUUAUUUUAUAAAUACAUAGCCAAAUACAUAUGUAUAAUGCCAUAACCGUCAAAGGGAGUCUUAAUACUUGGUGAUACUACCAGAAAUGGAUAUAAUUUCUUAUGAUAUUCUUAACAUGUUAUUAAAGAUAAUUAUAAAAUCCUAAAUUGUGAUAAAAUAAUUUAGUAGUCUUCUUAUUUGGAUAUAAAAUAUUAUGAAUUGUUCAAAAGACAUAUUAAUUACUUUUGUGCAAAGCAUAAAUCAAGGUUUGUAGCAAAUAUUAUUUGAUAAAUUUUAGACUUUACCAACUUGUAAACUAACUUGAUUAUUUUUAGUAUAAUUCAUCUUUAAAAUAUAUAUAUAUAUAUAUAUAUAUAUAUAUAUACAUAUAUUGUAGAUGCAUAUAUUAUUUUAGUAAAUAAAAGUAGUAUAAAUAGAUAAACAUAUGAUAAUUAGAUUUUAUUUUAGAAUUUUUUUAAAAUAUUAAUAGAUAUAAAUUACAUAUUUAGAUUUAAUUAUAUAAACCACAUGCCUAUGGAGACUUCUACUAUAAUUUGUUUAUCUUUAAAAUUAUUAUAGAUGCAAUCUACAAUAUAGAUGCUUAGGCCCUAAGCCAUGUGUUUUUUAAGAAGCUUCCACAUAGCCUUUUUAGUUGAUAGGACUAAUAAAGGUAGGACUAACAACAUUCUUAAUUUAAUCAAGGUCUUCUUUUUGUUUUCCAGUCUUGAUUGAAAAUUCUCCAAUUUCUUUGUAUAAUUUUAAAAUCAUUCUAAGUUAUUUUUAUCUUCUAUUUUAGUUCUUUUUUUCUUACAUUCUUUUUUUGAAAGUUACAUAUGAGCAUAUUUUCUUUUCAAAAAUUUAUUUAGAUUCAUAGCUUUGAUAAAAGAGGUCUUAAGAUAAAUUAUUGAAAUUUUUUUAAAGAUAUUUUAUAAAAAAAAUUAUAAAAAAAUAUAUUUUCUUUCUUUCUUUUCUAAUUGUAUAUUAACAAACACCUUAGAAUUACUCAUAAAACAUUUUUACAUCAUUGAGUAUUAAAUAUUUGCUUCAAAGAAUUUAUUUAAAAACAUCAUUGUUACAUUGUUGAAAUAAAGAUAAAAUAAUGUUGUUAACAAUUGCAUCUCAUAACAAUAACAUUUUUGUAAAACUAUAGAUAAAUUUUCUUUUGUAGCUAUGAAAUAAUUAUUUUAAAUUGUAAAUUAUAAACACGUAUUUUUUAAAGAAAAACAGGAUGCUAAUUGAUUUGUAGGUGAUAGAAGGCUAAUAGAUUAUAUAUAUAUAUACACACAUACACAACUUAGUUAAAUUUAAAGUUUUAAAAAUAUAUUACAGAUGUAAAUCAUUUAAGAUAACUAGCAAGAUUCUUUGUUGCAAGUGUUGCAUCUCAAAAGUCAUAAUAUCUAUUACACUAAUAUCCACAAAAUAAAUAUUAAUCAAAAAAUUAUUUGGGAGGUUUUUUCAAGUCCUUUGCAAUCAGAUGUAACCAUCCACCAAACACAAACUAUACACAUAAAAAACAAAAAAUAUACAUGUCUUUGUAUAUUUAUUUUUCAUACAUACAUUCAUAUGUUUUGCAACAGAGUAUAUAUAUUUUAGAUGUUUUUUUUCGGGCCAAACGUUACGUGGAAACGAAAUGGAUAAGGCUGGUCCGAGCGUAGGAGCGUCGGGUCGCGUCGCGUCGGGUGGCGUCGCGAGGACAGCGUCCGAGACGGAAAGACGCGGUAGCAUCAUUAUCGUCGACCGAGGAGGGAGCAAUCGAGAUGAGAGAGAACGAGAGAAUGAGAAUGAGAGAUGAUGAGAGCUUCCUGAAUCCAACUUCACCGAAUUCGCGUCGCUCAGGGAAUUGAGGAUGUGGUGAUCCCCUUUCUCUCACGUCGUCCACACGAGCAAUCUCGCCUGCCUGAAAUCCCCACCCAGCGUUGCAGGGAGUCUCCAUGGCGAUGGCGUCCCCGGCGUUGGUCACCUCCACCACUACCACCACCCACGCUGCCCCCGCUCAGGCCUUCGCGCCAGCCUCCUCCCCCGCCAGCUCCACCCAGAGAUGCCUGCACCCAUUUGCGCUUGUGGGUCGCAGGUCAAGCUCCAGCUGUAAACGUGCCCAGGUGCGGUUUAAUCUCACGUUGCGACCAGUUUGAGGUAUUGCUGUUGAAUUCGAAGGUGGGGUAGUGUUCGCUUCAUGAAUGAAGGUUGACAGGAGUGUUAUUUAGUGUCGUCGAGCUUGCGCGCGUUUUCUUUUCAUUACCCCAGGUUGGGAGUACCCGAAGUUUUGAUGCGCCUGAUUGGUUUCAUUGGCUCGGGAGCUGGCACAUUGGAGUGUGAGCUAGCCAAUGGUAGGGUUGAAGGAAUCGAGCUCGUUACAGCAAUUGAUCAGUCGAACUCAACGGAGUGAUCUGAAAGUCAGAGGGGAUAGUACGCGUGAGAAAAUUUGAGUCUCCUCACGUGGGUUCUUGUUGGAAAGAGCCUGACAUUUUUUGUAAUGUGCAUUGAGAAUAUUAGUUAGCUCCCGACUGCACCGAGAAUUCAAGGGUUUAUAACUACGGGCCAAAUCUCUGAUUUUCCACCAGGUCUUUAAUCACAGUCUGAGAUAUCUCAGACGGCAGUUGUGGAACUGUGCACUGGCGAGAAAUUAACUGUUGUUGAUUUGUGGCUCGUGUUGGUGGAAUCGGUUUCACAUUAAAUAUAUUCAUAGUCGGAAAUUUCCUUUUGGCUGUAGAGACGAGUCUUCCGUGUGUCAGCUGCUGCAGCUGAGUCCGGGUCAGUACCACCUUCAAUCCCGAAAGCAGACAUUGCACCAGCAAAAGAAGCUCCCCCGAAGCCAACCUGUACGAUCAUCAUCUUUCUCGGGGAAUGCCUAAUCAAUUUUUGUUAUAACCUUUCGUAUAUAUUUAAUUAUGUCGUUUGCAAUUCGAGUCUGUUUGCCUCUUCGAAAUCUGAUCAAUUUGUCUCGUCGUGGCAGUGAAGAAAGGACAGAUUGUGAGAGUUGACAAGGAAAAAUAUCUGAACAGUGUAGAGGUAAUUUCCGUUUCUUCACAAACUUAAGCUUGGGUGACAUGCAUACCGAUCUUUUAUAUGACAAGAAGCCAUUGUAUGUUGCCUUGAAUUCCGCUCCAAAGACAUAGUUAUCUAGUCAUUUGCAGAGAUGUGCUUCUUUCUGCAAGCUUAGACACACAGAUGUUCUGAAUGAGGAAAUCGCGAUGCAGUAUCUAUCAGUUGGGCAUCCCCCUUACUUCACUGGCCUAGAUUACAUUUAUGAAGACCGUGGCGAGGUAAAGAGCGUGCCCAUUUUCCUGUUCGUGUGAUUUUUUUUUUUUCUUUUUAUUUUUUUUCUUUUAAUGUACACACUGCCGUGAUUUUAUUCUCCCACAAUUGAUUGAUGACUGCACUUUCCUCCCUGUGAAUCAAUUAGUAUACCUACUUUCUAAGACUCAUGAGGUAAUUGUGUGAGCAGAUUUUGAACACCAGAUUCUUUGAUCAUGGCGAGUAUGCACUGGUAUGUUCUCUCCUGUAUUCCUAAUUUCACAAUUUUUAUUCGUGACCCAGAACCUUGAAUAUCUGAGGCUUACCCUGUGAACCUACUUGCAGAUUUCAUGGGCAGGAAUACCAACGAAUCCAGCUUGGCUUCCUACGUACAUGCUUAUCCCGGUAAAUCAACACACUGUAGCUUGUAACCGUCUUGUGCACAAACAUAACUCUGCCGCCUGAGGUCUUUGCAUUAGGAUGUGUUUGUAAUGCUGUCGUUUGGCAUUAUAAAAAUUUAAUUCUAACAAUGGGGUUAAGGACAGUGUUGAUAGUAUUGUAUGUCUUCGGAUGUCUUUGAGAUAUGUUCUAAUGCCCCGUCCUAAAAUGCAGGCGGAUAGGCUCUCAUACAAGAGACAGUAAUCGUCAGCUCCAACAUUGAUUCAGCUGAGACCAUCACUUUCUGUAACGUUCAACUGGGAUACUUCUCUCCUGUAAUUCUUUCUCCUCCUCAAGUAUUGAUUAGCAAAAUGUGAAGACCCUCCAUCUGGGAAAUAGUGAAGCUCAUACUUCUAUGUGGUCUGAACAGUUCUAAUGAUGUAAUGUAGUGUUUUAUUCGACGAAAAUCCUCAGGAUGUACUCUUUGGACAAGACUUAAGUCUUGAAUGUAGCAUUUUUUCCUAAUAGUUGGUUAUUUGACGUAAGCUAUAUAGGUCUGCUGGUGAUGGAAUGUUCUUUGCAACCCACUGAUACUGGACUCUCGUUGACAGUGAAGAAACCUCUUCUUACAUCAAAUCCGCAAUGAUCUAUGGAGAGGCAGCAACUUGUUAGGCCUGCCUAACUUAUUUUCAAACUAAGAUAGUCUAAAAUAAAUCAAUUAAGAUAAACUAAAUCAAGAUCAAUUUUUUUGAAACAAUUCAGAUUUUUAUAAAAAUCUAUUAAUGUGAUUCGAAAAUUUGAGUUCAAUCCCACAUGUAUACGUAAAUUAUUGGUGGCAUUUUUUAGAUAAUAUAAUGUGUUAAAUCUAAUCAAUAUUCUUAGAAUAAGUAUCAAAUCACGUGGAAUAAGGAUAUAACGAAAAAUGCUACAAAUAUUGGAACCAAAUUCUUAUUGAAGUGAUAACUUUCUUACAACUAUUUUUUUUAAUAAUAAAAUCUUCACGAUUGAUUUUCAGAAAAAUAAUAAUAAAUAAAUGUAUUUUUGGAGUAUCCCAGAAACGUCAUUGCUUUGAAAUACCACCUGAAUAACAUGAUUGGAAACAGAUAUGUUAUAAAUUUUCUUAACAAUUAAAAAAUUAGUAAAAUACUUCAAAUAUAUGAUUAGAUGGGUAAUUUAAUCAAAGACUGGGCAUCAUCUGAUACUUUAUUAACUUUGAAUAUUCUUUUGCUACUGCCAGUAAAGAUUUAAUCUAAUCAAAAGCACGUCAAAUAAAUUGUUAUUGCCGUUACAAAAGUAAAAAAUUUAAAAUAAAAUCCGAUGAAAUAAAUAAAUUGCAUAAAAAUAUAUUUUUUACUUUUAAGACAAAAAAAUUCGUAAAAUUAUAUAUUAUUUAAUAAAUAAAUUCUAUUCUAAUUAUAAAGCUAUAAAUCACUUCAAAUUUAUAUCAAAUUAUAUUCUAAUUGAAAACAUAUAUAUCUAAAAAAGAUAAUAAAAUUAAAAAUCUAAUAAGAUUAUAUUGAUCAUUUAUAAAAUAUAAAUUAUAAAAAUUAAAAAAAUAUGAAUAUAUGUUUUUUACUUAUAUCAAUAAUAAAUAGAUUUUGGGAAUAAUUAAUUUUGGGAAUAGUGCCUCAAAGGAUGGAAAAUGUUAUUUGGUGGAAAUCUAAUAAAUAUAAUCUCUCCUUGAUCAUGUAUGUGUACCAACUAAAAAAUGAAGGAAAUAGCAAGCCUCUAAGAAACAAGAAGAUGAUGUCAAAGAUGACAACAAUUUUUACUUCUAACUUAUAUGACCCUAAGAAGAGGUAUACAUUUAGCAGAAAGUCUUAAAAAUGAAGAAUCUCACCUCUAUUAAAACCAUAAGCCUUAAUUUAAUCAAAGAAAUGAACAUUGUCAUAUUACGUGCAAUCUUGCUUGAGAAUGCACUGUAUAUUUGGCUAUAGAAGGUAAAUUGAGAAUUGCAAUAAGAAGAUUCUAGUAAUUUUAAUAGAAUUCUAAAUAAAUCCCAAUUAAAAUUUAGCAAAUAUUAUCAAACCUUAUUCAAAUCUAAAAAAAGUCUUCAAGAAAUCAUAAAAGAAACAUAAAAAAAAUCUAUAAAAAUUAUAAAGAAUUUUACAAAAAUCUUAAAAGAAACAUCAAAAAUAAAAAUCUUAAUUAAAUCCCAAGUACAUUCUAAUCAAAUUUUAAUAAAAUCCUAAAUAAAUUUUGAUCAAAUUCUAACCAAAUCUUAAUGAUAUUCUAAUAAAAUUCUAAAUAAAUUCUAAACAAAGUCUAAUAAAAUCCUAAAAAAAAUCUAAUGUAUUUCUAAUCAAAUUUUAAUCAAAUUAUACUUUAAUUAAAUUCUAAUCAAUUUCUAAUGAAAUCCUAAAUUUUAAAUCAAAUCUUAAUAAAAUCCUAAUUAAAUUUUAAAUCCUAGAUAAAUACUUAGUCAAUCUUAUAAUAGAUUGAAACCUAAAUAACUAAUAAAUUAAUCAUAGAUUUUAACUCAAAAUUUUUAUAUCUCUCAAUUGCUAAAUUAAAAAUAAGCAUUAAAAAUUUUAAAAAGAUUGAACUAACUAAAUAGAAGAUAAAUUCUAUAAUAUACUUAAGUAUUAGGAGGCGUCCUUCUACAAUCUUAACAUUGAACUUCUAGUGCUAAUAUCACUUGCAAUCACCAUCCAAUGGUUUUCAAACUUUUCACACUUAUUUAAAAUUGAGUCUUCUACUAAUAUGUAUAUUUAUUAUUAUUAUCAUUUAAAUCCACAAAAUGCUACAAAUCUUAGUAAUACUCACUAUUCUUAUAAACUAUAAUUUUUUAGACUCUAAUACUUUAAAAUUCAAUAUUCUUCAAUUAAAUAAUUUGAUUACGUUAAAACUUACAACAUAUAUUUAAUAUAAUAAUAGUCACGUGAUUGUAAUAUUUUAUUUAUAGAUUAUCUACCAAUCUCACACAAUUCUCCAAAGUAUAAACUCUUUAUAUCUUCUCAAAAAUCCAAAGUCAUUCCAAAUCAAUCCUAACUUUGUAAAGUCUUUAUAAAGUCAUUACAAAUUCAAAUCACUCAAAAUCAAUGCCUACAAAAUUUUUCACUAGUUUUCUUUUAAAUCCACCCUCCAAUCAUUCAUAAAAUCCUAGAAUUGUUGUAGAUGCAUGGUUUUGUAUCUCAAAUCUAAUUUCAACCCUCAUUCACAACUAGUUCUCUAUGGGUAAAAAUUUUUAAUUUUUUUAAUUAAUUUUUAUUGAAAAUUACUCUCAUUUCUUUUCUUAAGUUGCUUAUGUUAAUUAUUUUUCUUAUCUACUUUGUUUUUCCUCAUUUAUAGCCAUACAAACUAAGUAGAAGUUUAUUUUGCAAAGAGGCAACAUAAACACUUAUUAGUUUUACUACUUUCUUAACUAUUAUCUAAACUUCUAUAGUAAUUUGCUAAAUUUUUUUUCAUUAAGUUUUUUUGAAAUAUAAUAUUUUAUUUCUUUUUUAUCUAAUAUUUGUAUUACAAUAAAAUAUUGCAACAACCCCAAAUUAGAUGAUUGUCAAAACAAAACAUAUCACAAGGUAAAGAAUCUCUAAAAGUAGUAAAGAAGUGACUCUAAGUUAAGAAUGUCAAAAGGAUCCUAUAUCAAACAAAAAAGGAUGGAAAAAUCACAAGAAAAUAUAUCAUUGCAACUAGAAUGAUAAAUAACACAAUUAUCAAAAUAAUAUGAUAAAGUUAUCAUUUUGGAGAUUGCCAAUAAUAACCUUAAAUAAUAAAAAUAAGAUUAUUUAAGUUAAAUUAAAGAGAAACAUAGUCUAAAAUAGGUUUAAUAUAAAUAAUGGAAUUAGAAAUUCUAAUGCAAUGGUUAUUUUAGAUAUAGUAGGUAUUUAAAGGAUAUAUAAAUAAAUACUUUAGAAAUACCAAAUAAUAUAUAUCUUUUUUUUAAUCAAUAAAAUUCAUACUUUUCUUUAGACUUGAUAGAAUUUGAAUUAAUAUGUAUCUUUAAGAAGUAAGAGAAGUAAUCUAUAACCACUCCAUUGAAAAAGAGAUGUGAUAGCAUCAGAUCAAAAUACAUACCAAAUUGGAAGAUAUAGGCAUACUAGUAGUUGAGUUGCAAUGAAAAGAAGAUUCUUGCAUUUGUUGCUAAUACAUUUGGUGGUGACUUAUGAUAUUUGAAGGAAGUCAAAUUUGUAAGAGAGAGAAAGGAUGCCUUUUGUUUUGGUUGAAAUCAUUGAAAGUGUUGAUAGAAAUCAAUGUAAUUUGCAACCAAGUAGUAUGAAAGAUCAAUAGAGCUACACCACCUUACUUUAGUAUGCUUCCAAAAAAAUUCAAUAUAAAGAAUAUAAAAAAUAAAAAGUCUCAAUGAAGAUUGAAGCAUUAUUAAAAUGAAACUUGAUGUAGCAUUAAUAUUAUAAAAAUUAAUGAUUAGAGGGCAUUUAUAUAUGAGAUAGGAUUACAACUUUAUUUUCAAAUAAUAUUGAAAUAAUUGAUAUAGGAGGUAUGAAGUCUUGAUGAAAUAAGAAGUAAAGUUGUUUAAGCUUUUGAUGGUUAUACUAGGCAUGGGGGUUUUAGAGUGCUCUUCACAAAUGCUAAAAUGAGAGAUAUGAGAGAUGUAAACUUUUAAUAAAGUAAAAAAUAGAGUUAAUGAAAUAUUUUUAGUUAAUCAAAAUACUAAUAACAUUCCAAAGAGCUACUAAUAUUAUAACAAAGCCCUCAACUUAAUGCUCUAAAUUGAUUCUAAUUGUCACCUUAAAGUUAAAAUCUAGAGUAAAAUUAUUAUGAUAGUAUUAAAGUUGAAUUUACGUACCUUGUGUAAUUUAAUCGAAAGCAAAGUAGUACACUUUUAUGUCCUUUGGGAUUGUAAAGACAUACUUGCAUCCAUCUAAUUUUACUCAAAAAAUAAAAAAAAAAAAGAUUUUAGGAAAGUAAAAAAACAAGUUAGAUGAAAAUAGUAGAAGAUAGAAAUUAAAAAGUAAUCUACUCGCUACUAGAACCUAAUACCUAAAUAAAGUAGAUUGAAGAUAUUUAAAGCUUGUCCCUUUAAAUGAAAUAAAGAUAAAUCAAAUGCAUUGCUUUAAGACAACCAAUAAAGAAAGUCUCAAAUAUUAGAAUCUUGAAUUGCAAAGUAUAGUUAGAUAAAGUAGUAAUUCAAAAUAUAGUUCUUUGACUUGGAAUAUGUAUGUUUGAAUGUUAUAAGCUAUUAAAAUUAAAAGAAAGUAGAAGUUAGAAAAAGAAGUAAGUUCUAACAUACAAAGAAAUUGUUUAAGUUGGCCAAAAUAACAAACAAUGAUUUAGUACAAUUAAUCAUCAUAAAAAAAAAUACAUGUUAUUUUCAAAUAUAUUGGCUAUAUUGUGACAAUAUUUAAGAAGUUCUUGCAUUUUCUUACAAUAGCAAUUAUGUUCAUUUUGGAUUUUAUAUAUAUAUAUUUUAAAUUUUGAUAUAUAUAUAUAUAUAUAUAAUAAAAUAAUUACACAUUCGUAAUAAUUUUUUUAGGAUUUAAAUUUUAUAUAUAUCUAUAUAUAUAUAUAUAUAUAUAUAUAUAUAUAUAUAUAUAUAUAUAUAUAUAUAAUAAAACAGAAUAAAUUGUAAUAAUAACAUGUAAAAGUAAUCUUUGAUUUUGAUUAAAACAUGCUAAUUCUUGUACAGACUUACUUCUUAUAAAUAUGUAUAUAUAUAUAACAUCAAAAUAAAGACUAAAUUUCUAUCACCUAAAAGAGUUAUAAUUUUGAAGAAAAUUUUGGAAUUAAAAUUUUAUUAGUAUUUUAAACUUUAAUUUUUAAAAUAAAUAUAAUCAAUUUAUAAAUAGUCUGUCAAAAAUAAUAAAAAAUAAAUUUAUACAAAAACUUGUAGCUAACAACAUUAAAUAUUUAAAUAAAUUAUAAUUUUAUUAUAAUUAUUUUAGGAGAGAAAAUAGAUUUAAUAUAAAAUAUCAUUAGUAAAAAUAUUCAAAUAUAUAAUUAUUACAAUAUGGUCCAAGUAUUUUAAGUAGAAAUUAUAGUUGUAAAAAAUUGAUCAUAAAUAGAAAGUUAUAUAUAAGAUCUCAUCCUACCAAUAUUAUUUUAAUAUAUUAAUUUCUAUGAAUAUUUUUUUAAAUAUAUAUAUUUAUAUAUAUUCUCAAGUAUUUGAAUUUAUUUGAAUUUAAAAAUAUUAUUUAUAUAAGAUUAAAUUAAAAUAUAGAGAUGCCUUAUAUUUUUAGUAUAAAUUCUAAAAAUUCUAAAAAUAAUAAUCUAUAGAUUAAUAAAAAUAGAUCAAGUAUUUAUAUAGAUCUAUUUUUUUCUAUUAUUUUUAUGUUUAACGUUAUUCUUAUUAAUAUAAUAAAAACCAAAAUAUUUACAAUAAGACAUCCAAUCAUGUUAAACUUAGAAACUUAUUAAGAUGCCAAACUAGAAGGAUCGAUGUUCUCAUCAAUUUUAUUUUUUAAAACUUGAAUAAUAAUUUAACAUCUUUAAUAUUCAUAUUAAUUAAAUAUUAUAAGAAAGCCUUACUAUUUUUUUUAUAAGAGCUUUAAAUAAAGAAAUUAUUAGAUUUUGUAAGUCCUACUUGAUAUUAUUUUUUAAAAUUUCGGUAAUUAGUAUUUGAUAAUUUAAAAAAUAAUAAGUAUAUUAUAAAUAUAAUUAUUUUUUAUUUUAGAUUAUUUACUAUAUUUUUCUAUAAAACAAUUAUAUGGAUGAAAGUAUUGGACAUAAGUAGGAAUCAACUUUAUUUUUAUUUAAGUAUAUUUUUAAUUUUUAUUGAUUUUUUAAAUCAAUAUUUAAUAUAUAAUAUGUUUAAAAAUAUGAUGUACAAUGUUCUUUCAGUCAAAGGUAUUGUUGCAAAUCAUGCAUCUUUAAUUACUUAAAUUUUUAAAACAUUUUAAAUUUGGAUUUAGAUUUCAGAAUUACAAAGGUGUUAUUAGACAAAAGAAUUUAAUUCAAAAUUAUUAGUUUAAUAUUUUAGAAUCAUAUGGAUGUGCCUAAUUUUUAUACUUAUUAUUAUUAUUUUUUUAGAAAGAUUUUUUUUUUUUUUUAGAAUAUAUAAUUCUAAUAAAAUGAAUGGCAUGCUUAAUUGAUUUUAUGACUCAUAGUUUAUAUAUUUUAACUUUGCACUUAUAAAAUCAAAAUUAUAAAAUGAUGAUUUUUUGUGAGUUUUGGGAUUUUAUCUUUUGUAUUUUGGGUUUUUAAGUUGCAAUUGUAUAAUAAGAAGAAGUUAAAAUAUUUUAGAUUGAUUAAUAUUAAGGAUUUAAUCUACUUGGUUUUUGAAUUAUUAUUAUAAAUAUAUAUUAUUUUAAUUUUUAUUUAAUAUAUAUAUUUAUUUUUAGAAUAUACUAAUUUGAUAGUGGAAUUAGAAUGUUCUAUUAGUUUUUAGAUUUUCAAAUGUAGAAACUUUUAUUUUAUGGUUUUUUUGUUAAUUUUUUAAUUUAAGAAUAUUUUAUACUUAUCAAUUUUAAUAGUUUUUAUAUGUGUAAUUAUAAUGAUAUCUUCAAUAAUAUAUAGUGAAAUAUUUUAAUUUCAAAAUAAAAUUUUGAUUGUAUAAAUAACUUGCUUUAUAAGUUUUUAAUUUGCAAGAUAAGACAAUUUGAAUUUAGAUUCUAUGAUUUUGACUUUUAUUGUAAGAGGUGAUUUGAGAAUUUUAAAAACACCAUUGGAUUUAUUUAUGAGUUUUUCAUUCUAAAUACAUCAUUUUAGUUGUUCUAAAAGUGCAUAGAUUUGUAGAUAUUUAGGAUUUGAUUAUUUUUAUUUGAGCUAACUUUACAAAUAAGUAGAAUUUGGUAAGUUUUGAUUUGACAAAUGUCCAUAUUUUGGAGGGCUGUACUUUAAUGGUGAGUUUAAAAUGCUCUACAAGUUUUUUAAUUUUUAUAUAUAAGAUCCUUAAUUUCAUAAUUUUUUCAAUUUAUUUUUAUUUAUUUUGUCUUUUUGAAAUUUUGAAUUGAUUUAUUGUCUUAUUUGUGAUGCUUUUGAUUCUAAUAAUAUGUUUAAAAUCUUCAAUAAGUCCAAAGUUUAAAAAACAUGAGUUUUAAAAAUUACUAAUAAUAUUUUAUAUAAUAUAAAAUAUAUAUAUAUAUAUAUAUAUAUAUAUAUAUAUAAUAAAUUGAUAAUAAAAUGAGUUUAAGAUUUAGAAAUUAUGACUAUAUGGAUGUUUCCAAUUUUUUGACCCCUUUAAAUUUAGAUUUUAACUUGUCCUAUUCUAUCCACCUCCUAUAUUUAAUAUCUAUAAUUCUUUCAAUAUGAAUAACUUGCUCUGCAAGUUCUUAAUUUGCAAGAUAUAUCAACUUUGAUUUAGACUUUAGGAUUUUGAAUUUUAUUAUAAAAAGGUGUUUUAAGAGUUUUGAAAACACUAUUGAGUCCAUUCUUAGAUUAUCCAUUCUAUAUAUGUCAUUGAAUUGUUCUAAAAGUAUAUAGAUUUGUACAUAUUAAAUAUUUGAGCAUUUUGAGCUUUGAAUCAAUUUUAAAAAUGGGUAGAAUUUUGUGAGUUUUGAUUUGAUCUAUAUUCUUAUUUUAAAUUCUAUAAAUCUAAUGGUAUAUUUAGAAUAUUUUAUGAUAUUUUUAUUUUUAGAUAUAAGAUCUUUGACUUUGUAAUUUUUUUUUGUUGACUUUUAUUUUUCUUUAUUUUUUAAAAUUUUGAAUUGAAAUAUCCCUUAUUUGUGAUGCUUUAAUGGUAAAUUUAAAAACUUUAACAAGUCUAUAGUAUAAGAAAUAUGAGGUUUUUAAAAUUACAAUAUUAGACUUUACGUAUUAUAUGAAAUAAUAAUAAUAAAAUUUAAGAGUGAAUUCUAACAAAGCUAAUAAUAAAAAUAUUUCAAAUGCAAUCAUAUCUUCGAAGUUCUAUAAUGAUUGACUUUAUAAUAAUUACUUCAAAUUAAAUCUAGAAUUAUUAUAUAAUGAAUUUGUUGAUUCAUAAAGCACAAAGAACUACAAUAAUAUUAAAUGAGUAAUUAACUUCAUUGAUUAUCUACAACUUUUUAGCCACCAAUUGAUCAACCACAAUUUAGACAUUGAGAACUAUAUCGUAGAAAAUUUUAAAAAUUGAUAUUAAUUGCCUUGUAUCUAAAUGUGCAAAGAAGUUGCUCCAAACAACCAUUAUUGGUGAAAUAAAGGUAUAUAACAACGCCAUCAAGAAUAAUCCACUUAAUUGAAAAGUUGUCAAUAUAAUUUAGUGGAUUAGUAACCACAUAAUUGUCUAUUUAUAUUUUAGACUACAAUAAAUUAUAUUUGCAUUUCUAUUAUGUUGAUUUUCUUUUAUGUCACCAAUAGUGAUUGAAAUUUCAUAUUCUAUAGUAAUAAAAAACUUACUAUGUCAAUAUUUGAGCUAAUAUUGUUAUUUCUCUUAGUUCAAGUUUUUAAGUGUAUAUACAAUUUAAACUUCAAUGUAUACUUCUAUAACAUAUUUUAUGCAGAUUACAAUAAUAUAAUGUAAUAAAUUUAAUGAAGAUUUUGUUUAAAAUAAUAUUAUUUAGGAAUCCAAAAAAAUAUUAAUUAUUAUCAUAUUAGAAAAUAUUAUAUUUACCAUUCCAUGACAUGAAUUAUGAUAUGAAUUUGUAUCAAAAUUAUCUUUUAUAGUUCAUACAAUAAAAAAGUUUAUUUAGAUGGUUGAAUUUGAUUAUGUUUAAUUAUCUAAAUUUAAUUAUAUGCUGGCAUUACUUUUUGAAUAUAUAAAUUUAAAUAAAAUAUUAUGUUUUUUUAGUUUUUGUAAUAAAUAUAGAACUUAAAUUUUAUAAUUGGAUCAUAUUAUUUUUAUCACAUUCAAAUAUGCAUACACAAAUCUGAUUACAUUUUAAGACAACAUAGUUAAUAAUAGAACCUUUGCAAAUGAUAACCAAUCUAUAAUAAUCAUCAAAAUAGACAAAACCUCUUAAUAUUCUUUUAUAAAUGAACUGAAAUUAAAUAACACUAGUAAACUUAUAUUCAAAUAUUAUAACUAAGUCAUGAUAUAGUUGAAGGUGAUAUAUAGUGAAAAUAAUCAAAAUACAAAUUUAAAAAACAACAUGACUAAGUUACAUCCAAAUUUAAGAAACAACAUACAAAGUCAAAAUCAUCUAAGAAUUGUAAAUAAUCAUCUAAGAAAAUGAUAAAAUAGCAUCAAUAUGAAGAUUACUCUAUCAAAACAACUAUUUUUUUCAUACAAAUAAAUUCUGAAACUAAUACUAAAACACCUAACAUCUUUAUUAUUAACAUCUCUAAAAUUGCAACAAUUGAACAAUCUUCAACUCAUAUUUCAUUACUAUUCAAAGGCAUCAUUAUGAGUUAUGAUAUCAAUAAUUUAUUAUAAAACUAUAAAUAAGCAAAGUUAAUGGAUUUUAAAGUAUUUGGCUAAACAUUGGUAUGAUGAAAGUUUUCAACCAUCCACAAAUAAUAACUUGAUAUUAAAAAAUUAAUAUUGUAACAAAAAAUUGUUUACAUUCAAUUUUUAAAACUUAGAUUUAUUUCAUUGAUAUUUGAGUCAAUCAUAAAAUUUAUUAACCCAAACUCGAAAAACUUAUUAAUCAUUCAUUAGUUCUUUUCAAAGAACUGUAUUUCUUGAUUACAUCACUCAAAAAAAACAAUUGACUGAACACAUAUACAGCACUUAUUCAAAUGUUAUUCUAGUGUUAUCAGACAUUGUACAAUGUCAGAGAUAAUUACCACACCCCAAUUGACAUCCAAUAGUUAACUUAACACGAGUAUAUUAUAUGCACUCCAAACGAGUUCAAUAGAACUAUUCAAGUUCCAAGGUCACUACGAAAAGCUACAUACCUGAUUAUUGCAAGCUUCUCAGUUCCAUAAUGCUGCAUAAUAUAUAUCUCCAGCCUUCACUCCGCAACCACAACGCAUGCCGUUGAAAACCACAAGGCCACACUUGCCAAUUCACACGACGUCUGGAAAUGCUGACUUGAAGGACACCCUGACUACUGAUGCAUGAUUAAAUUGCAAAAUGAGAUCAAAUUCCAAACAGAGAGAGAGUCACAUGCACUACAAGGUCAGCCCUGACCGACAAAUAAGCACCCCGCAGCUUCUAUCAUAUAGAUAGGUGAGUCUGGGUAGCACUUAGGUUUCUUUGGACGCUCCUGCAACCAAAAGUCAUUUUGGAAUGGAGAAAAUUGUCUACUCUAGGAAAGAGAAAUUAAAUUUGCUGCCAGUAACUGAAUGAUUACUCCGACACAAAGAGAGAAGGUCCACAUCUUAUUGCACGAAUUCAGAGCCAACAGACAACAAAAAUGAGAACUUAUGAAGAAUUUGAAGAUGAAAAAAAAAAAAAAAAAAAAAAAAAAAGAAGAAGAAGAAGAAGAAGAAAGAAAGAAAGAGAAGCUUCACACUGGAACCAUUACCAAAUUUAUAUGAUUCGAGAGUUGGAGGCUCUAAAAAUUAAUCGAGAUUAAUGGUAUUUUCAGUUGGCUUUUUGAAAGCUUUUUUCAAAUACCAUGUGAAGAAAUGAGGUAAUUGUCAUAUAGCUAUCACUAACCUGCUUGUGACAUAGAGGAGCAGACUAAUUGUGCUUUGGUCACGAAAAUAAGCAGCAUGGUCACCUUGCCAACCGUUUGGUGAUUCGCGUUUGUUAAUACCACUGAACUUGCAUAUGUUUCCAAUCUUUCAUGAUCUCGUGGACUUUCUUAAAAGCGGCCCAUCUUCGCACUACAACAUUUAAGCCCCGGUAAUUUGCGGGGACCUCCUCACAAAGCGCGUCGUCAAAUUCAAAAUGUUCUUUUGAAAAUUUUCUCAAUCUCCACUCGAUCUGUUGAGCUGCACUCCGUUUUCAAAAUUUUAUGUCAGACGCUGUCUUCAAAAAAUAGUGUCUUCAAUUAUAGAAGAGAUGACAUUCUCCGUUUACAUAAAUAUGUAGAUUGCACUUAAAUUGUGAGCUUUGUACAUAAAUGUUGAAAAAGACCUCACAGGGAUUCCAAACCGACCAUUAUGACUCAAGAAUCGAUUACUCCAGACGUAUUGAGUAUUCCACUACGAACUUCACAGAUACAAACUGUUCUCAACCAAUUGUUCCGAUAGCACGAGGUUAAAUAUCUCCAAAAUUAUUAUUUACCAAGAAGAGGAAUACCUUCACUCCGGCUACUAAGACCCCGCAUAGUGCACACUAAACUCCAAGGACGACCCCCUCGAGUGGAUUUUGCACCACCAGCUAGCUCUCCAUUGUGCUGCCUCAACCUGCGGGCCACACAAAUCUUAACACAACCGAGCUUCUUGAAUAACUCAUUCAAAAUACGGAACAUCAACUGAUCGUAGAUGCGUUCAAGGUCCAAACGAAGUUUCUUCACAAACAAGACAAACUUUAUGUUACUUCAAUGAAACAUUCAUGUUUCACGCCAGUAGUGCAGAACAGUCUAACCCACCUUCUCAACUCCAACAAAAAAACACUGAAAAGUCAUAUUUCCUUUUAAAUUCAUAGGACAGAGAAUAGACCUCCUAGUAAUAUUUGCUGUGGCACCCAUAUACGUCCUUCGCUUAUCGUUUGACAAUAUAAGGUACACACACCACUCGUUGCCUUCAGCCUCGGCACUUUCGUCAUUCUCAGAAGCCUCUGAACCUUUUGUAUGCUCUGGAUCUUCUGUACCCUUCGUAUCUUCUACUCCAUCCUUAGGCUCGCUUACCGUUUUGCGAACCGUCUUCCUCUUCAGAGCUACACCCUUCUUAGCCUUAAUCUUCGCAACUGUUUUCGCAGGGCUUGUAUCACGCUCAUCAAAAAUUGGUGGCCGUUGAGGGGGAGACCUCAUACCAGCGUAAUCAAAUUCGUCUAUACCAUAUCGACCAAGUUCUUCAUGGCUACACCUAUUUUCCCCUUCAGUUUGAGAAAUGCCAACCGCUCUAACCACUGCAUCACUGAACAUUCUACACUUCGGUUGACUUACAUUUCUUCUUGACCAUUUUCCACAAGAAACUAGCUGUGGGGGAUGACCUGACGAACAAUGUACCAUUCCUUCUCCAGUACAUUCCGUGUAGUAAUUCAAGCAUGUGAAUCUACACUUCAAACCUACCAAAGACAUUUUAUUUGACCCAGUUAUUCUCCACUCAUAACAAGGGUUUAGUCGCAAGGGUCCAAGAUAGGUUUGUGCCAGGAUCAUGACCCUCCGACCCGCUAACAUCAGGGUUAAAGUUCAUCGUCUACACAAAAUCUGAGUAGAAUUUGAACUCUUGCAUACUGCAAAAUGGGAAGACAGGUUCGUGCCCUAAAAUUCAUAUUUCUUUCUCAAAACAAACACACACCAGCGGUGUCCGGCCUUCAACUCCACAACGAGGACUGCAUCAGGCUUGACAAACGCGACCCACCAUCCCAACACGACCCUCCUGCAACUCCUCGAUUUCUUCAAUUCCCGAAGCAAACGCACUGCAGAGCUUAAACCCAGAACCUUCCACUCAGCACGCUUGUCCAUCAACUAAAACCAACAACAACAACUGGGUUGAAGCAUCUCCACCAAACUAUCUCUCCACCCAACUAAGAAAAAGCGGCAGCUGCCACAUGGUCGUCUUUCGGCAACAAAUAAAAGGCAGGAGCCAUAUCAAAGGUUGCAAAUUCUCAAACGGAAAGGCAAAACGUUUCCCCGUCGUGCUAUGAAAACAAAGUCACUCACCAGGAACUGUAAAGCUCCCUCGCCGCUUUAGAACAAGGUGAUGAUGUGCUCAUGGGUCACGCGUCCGAUCUCCCUGGCUCUCACCAUCGCUGCGUUACACUCUGCAAGUACUCGCAAAACUCUAUCUCAUAGGGAAAUUGACGCCCCCUCCAAAUCUACAAGCCCCGUCUCCGCUCGCCACUGCGGAUCAGUCAGACUUGUGUCUGUGCUUAUUGGCUGCUUUGAAGGAGCUGAUAUCUCAUCGCUCGAGGCGCUCUUUGUUCAUCCAAUCUUGGAUGGUUCUCGUUUCUAAACGCAUCGGGGAGCCUGUUUUCUGUCCUGCGCGUUCGUCUUCUUCGUCGUCCACUGGGCUGCUGCCAAGUGUCUUGUCUGGAUUGGUGCAAUUUUUUAAAAUUACAAUAGUGAUUUCAAUAAUUUUAUUGAAAAUGAGGAUUUUAUUUGAAAUCACUAUUUUUUUCCAAGCUGGUUUAUUUUUGUCCAUACUUUGGCUAAACCAACUUGGACAAAAAUAGUUCACUAUUGUUUUAUAGCUCUUUUGCAUUUUCAUAAUUAAAAUCAAUUGCAUCUACUAAGUUUUUGUAUUCAUUUUUUGUAGAAAAAAAAAUUCUCAUUAUUUUUUUCUCAAAAUGUGGAAAAAUAAGAACUCUGUGGAAACAAUUUAUAAUAUUUGUGAUUAGAAUAUUUCAUCUGUUUGGACCUAAUUAAUUAUCAAACAACAUCAUCAUUAAAGGUGCCAGAUAUAGAAAUUUAUAUAUAUAUAUAUAUAUAUAUAUUAAAAAUUGAAAAUUUUAAAAUAUCAAACCAAAGAUCAAUUCUGUAGUGGAACACAAAAUAAAAUAAAUAAAAAGUAACUAUUAAUUAUAUUUAAUUACAUAAUAUUUAAAUAUAUAAAAAAUACUUGAAAAUGAUUUGAUUAGUAAUUUAACUUGUGUAAAAUAUUUUACAUUUAAAUAAAUCAGAGAUUAACUUUAACAUGUUGUACAAUAUAUAUAUAUAUAUAUAUAUAUAUCUCAACUGCUUCUAAACACAAUAUAUUUGUCGAUUUGGAUUGUAACUACUACUUUGCCACUUGAUAGCAUACAACUAUUAAUUUUUGAUGGUAAAAUUGUAUAAUUGUAAAAGCCUACACAAUUAUCAUACAACCUAAUAAGACAUGUACUAUCAAGUCAAUUGGAUUUCAAUUAAUAAACAAUCUGUUAGUAAAUUUUAAUUAAAAGCAUUAAUUAUUGUGAAGGUAGAUGAAGAAUUACAAAUAAAUUAAACUUCAUGAAUUUUUUAAAACUAAACUUUAAAUUUAGAAUAAAACGAAUAUUACAGUAACAGAUACUUUUUAUAAAAUUAAUGAUGGGAAUUUUUAGUAGAUAAAUUAAAUUUAGUAGUAUAAUAAAAUAGUUUAUAUAUUUAGUGAAAUAAUCAAUAUUUUACUAUAUUUUUAUUAGAAUACUUUUAUUUAUAAAUAAAAAAUAGUCUAUUUACUUUUGUAUUAAAUACUCUCUUUAACUUCAAUAACAAUGACUUUAUAAUUAUUAUUAUUUUUUAUUAUUUAUCUAUCAUAUUGUGUGUAAUAUUACAUAUACAUAAGAGCAUAAAAUGUUAUUAUUUUUCUUUGGAAGUACUAUAUUAAAGCAAGUCAUUUAGAUGUAGAUUUAAGAAUAUUGUAGUUGUGUAGAUUGCUAACUUUGUCAUGGUAUAUUAUUGCUAUUGUAAUAGAUUAGUUAUAAAAAUUCCUAAGCCAAAGAUAUUUGAAAAGCAAAAUAUAAAAAAAUUAUAGCUAGUCUUUUGUUCAUCUUAUUUAAUAUAGAUAUUUUAUCCAUUGUCACUUUUAAGAUAGUUGUAAUUUGGCACAAGAAUUUAAUUUAAUUUCUUUUAAAAGAAUUUCUUACAUAGUUGUUGCCAUUUCAAUGUAAUAUGUUGCUCCUGUAAUGUUGGUAAAACAAGAGCUUAAUAAAAGUGCUAGUAUAAAUGCCAAGUGUAGCCAAGUCUUAGUAUAAUAAGACAUGAAGGAGUGGCAAAAAUUACUACUGCAAUGCUAAAGUGUAUGGGCAUCAUGUGUUAGGCAAGUGCUACUCCAAAUUCAAUAAAAUGCAUCAGAGAAAGAAUGCAUGUGGGUUCCAAGCUCAAAUUUCUUAAUAUUCAAGAUCAAUAAGGUAUUGUGGUUCAAUGGCAUGGACAAGGAUUGCAACUUUGAUGGAAUGUUGCAACAUCUAUUAAAAUAUUACCAACUAAAUAUUGAAUUACCUUACUUUCUUUCUUUGCAACAUGAAGUUGUCUUGUGAUUGAAAAUUGUUUAGCAUACAAACAAACACUUCUUAUUUUAAUAUAUAUAUAUAUAUAUAUAUAUACACAUACACAUACAUAUUCUUUAAUAUACAUACAUACAUACAUACAUACAUACAUACAUAUUAUAUGAAUAUCUAGUACCAUCUUAAUUCUUAAAAAGAAUAUUUAAAAUACAUUUAAAUCCAUAAAUAAUAACUUCAUAUCUUAAAAUUUAUCAUAUUUAUAUGUAAUACAAUUGAACCUCUGUUAAUUUAUAUGAUAUAUUGCAAAGAGAGGAAAUAAUUAGCAAAAAAUAUAAAAUAUUAGAGUAGGAUUGAGAUUUGGCACAAUGACACAUGACUCCUUCCUCCUCUUCAAAGUGCAACCCUUCCACUUCCUUUCACAAUUGAUAUUUAACAAUGAAAAAAUCCAUAUUCACGCAACCCUUCUCCUCCCUUCAAUAAUUUUCAGUUGAGAAUGAAAAAAAUCCAUAAUCACAUUAAAAAAUUCUCAAUAUUCGUAUUAGACAUCAAAUAUCAAAGAUAUUAAUUACAUGCCUUAUUACCACAUUUGUUCCAUAACAAGGUAUCAAAUGUCAGAGGAUAUUAAUUUCAGGGGACUACUUCUCAGAAUUUCAACAUAGAUAGACAAUUUCAGAUUUUUUACAAAAAACUGUGAUUUGAAAAAAAGUAUAGAAAAUCAAAUAAUUAAAUUUCAAAAAAACGAUUGCAUGAAGAAUAAGAAGCAUGAAGAGGAGACAAAUAUGGGCAUAAUCGUAGAUUGUGUGCGUUCAUCUUCGCGGAGGGAGGUUUUGUCCGAGUCUCAAGCAUUUCUGCAUGCCAUGCCAUGCACAGAGGGCGUGAUGGCCCAUCGCCACCAACCUCUCUCUCUCAUGAUGCUUCGAGCCUCGUAAAUCUUGAAUUGGGGGCCACUCCCCAUCGCCGCGUUCCGAUCAUACCUUCAACCAGCAGCGUUGUUAAUCCUGAAUCCCUCUUUUCAACAAAAGUUGUGUCUCGAAAUUUGGGGUUCUAUGGGAUGAGAUUGAGUUUUCACGUCGGAGGGCAGGCACCUCGCAGCGCACAAUUACGCGCGACGGACCGUUGUGGGGAAGGUACCGAGGCGCAAGCUUCGAGCUUUAGUGAGAUAUGAAGGUUCUGCGGCGUGAUUGAUCGUUGAAGAGGUGGUGGAAUAUGGGGGGAUGAAGCAAGCGGCAUGGCGCUGGGAUUGUGGAGAUUUGAAGGGGAAUCGCGAGAGGUUCUGUAUGGCUGUCGCAGAGGAGCAUGAGUGAUGGACGCAUCCGAAUUGGUGCUUUGGAGUAGGUCCUUGAGGGCAGGGUUCCUGGUUGCGACCGUUCUUGGAUUGGUGGUGGUGAAGGGAAAGAGCGUCAUCUGGAGUGUGCAGAAUGUGGGUGUUCUAUGCAUUGGCAGGGCCCAUCGCAUUGGGCAUGGUCACGGGUGUGUUGCAGUACUUCGCUGCCCGCACUGUGCCCUUGCACGUCCGUGUUGUUGUAGGUUACGCUUGGUUGUGCGCCAUCUCUAUCAUCGUGCUUGUGCCCGCUGACAUCUGGACUGUAAGCAGUUUUCACACUCUCUUUUUCAUUUUGGAUUUUACUCUGCAGAACAGAUAGUGUCUGCACUUUUGUUCUCAAUAUUUACGACGCAGCAGGGCGUUGUUGGUCAUGGGAUGGUUGGUAUCCAGGUACACACUCUGCAUGUGUGCAUUUCUGGAUUCCAUUCUUUUGGAUCAUACCCUUCUUAAACUGCUUGGGGCUAUGUCAAACAUUGGAAAUCUCCGUCUGAAUUCACGACACGUUGUUCAUUUUUUUUUCCCACAAGUCGAGAUCCAGUUAUGUAAUUGCAUUGGUAAAAUUUUGAGGUGUAUUCAGUUUUGGAGGACCUGGCGAGUAGGGGUUUUUGUUGUCGAGAUUCUCAUUUUGUGUAUUACAAGCAUAUACUUCAUUCGCUCACCGCCUUGGGGUUACGUUCCCACCUUGUAGUUGUUCUCUAUUAGGGAUGGUAUUUUGGAGACGAGCUGGACCUGGAAGGGCAUCAUGCCCUUGAUGCUAGAAUUAAGUUUCAGAAGUUCCAUCGUUUUCCAUUAGAUCUUCUACUAUUCUUUUAAGUGUAUAGUCGAACCUCCACGUGGUUGUUGAUUUGUUUUUCCAAUUCAAGUUGUUCUGCGUACUGACUAAUUCUGAGUAUCAUCUUCGGAGCUUCUGUUUAGAUGUGUUGGUAGACAUUUCUCUCCUUGUCAUUUGGAUUUAUCGAUGGUUGUAAUUUUACGAGGCAGACUGUUCAUUUGCCUGACCGUAAGCCUAGCAUUGCUACAUUAUGGAGCUGGUCAUAUUGGAGCACUUUCUACCUUACCUGGUAUGUACGUUGCAGCACAUUCUAGAAGUAGCCUUCAUUUUGAAUUUUACUAUUUGUUUUCCUUCCUGUUGGAUUGAACCAUGCUCAGCUCAUAAUUACAGAUGAUGCUUAGACUUUUCGUAUGAGGCAGGUUUGUUGUGCCGACAUUACAGGGUUACGAGGACGCUGGGGAUUUUACGGUGUCAAAGAGACUGAAGACAAGCAUUCAUCAGAACUUUUCCUUUUAUGGGGCUGUGGGAUUUGUUGGGAGUGUGGGGGUUCUGAUUAUGAUCUUCAUGAACAAACUACACUGGUAUGGUCCACACCAUUUCGUUUCACAGGAAAGUGGUGAUCUGAUUUCUAGAGUCUCCCUGAUUUCUUGUUGUUCGGUGCUCCUCUCGCGAUUUCUUACAUUCUAGCACCGACACAGAGAUGAUUGGUGCUGCUUGCUUCUGUAAAACUAUGAAUGCCGUUCUACAUAUUUAUUUCACCUGAACCCCUGUUCCUUGUGUGCAUUUGUUUCCAGGGAUGGGCUUCUAGCAUUAGCAAUUGCCUGCUCCAACACUUUUGGACUAGUUACGGGUGCAUUUCUUCUGGGUUUUGGCCUGGUAGAAAUCCCUCGAAGCAUGUGGCGCAAUGCAAAUAUGGAGUAUCGCCAGAAAUACCUGACUCACAAAAUUGCACGAUGUGCCGUCAAGCUGGAUGACGCUCAUCAGGAGCUGUCCACUGCAAUUGUUGUAAGCUCUCAAAGAGGCUACUGACUUGGUAAUUGCAUUUUUUGGAUUCAAGUUACACACACGGGACAGCUUCCUUUUACUUGUGGUCUGAUGGAAUGAGUAAUCUUGUAUUUGGGGAGGUAUUUUCUCCAUCCCUUGAGUCUAUAUUCAAUUGUCCUUGGUUCUAACAGGUACCGGCUUAUUGCUAGAUGUCUGAAAGAUUAAUAGUCAUUACACCAUUCUGGCAAAUCCCUGUUUGGAGUUUCUGUUAGUCAGCCUUGAAAUGAACAUCUAUAGAUUUCAGGCUUGUGAGUGAAUUUAAAACUUUGAGGAUGCUAUCUUGUCGAGCAACUUUUAAUCUUAUUUUAUGUCUACUCGAAUAGAUUGCACAAGCAACUUCAAAUCAGAUGCCAAGCCACGAUAUACUACGGCCAUGCAUGGAUGUAAUCGAUGACAUGAUGGUGGAAAUGGUUAGGUCUUUGCGUUUACCCUUGAGUUCAUGCAAAGAAAGGCCUCGUAGAUGAAUAUUAGUUGAUCUUCUGCACAAAUUGGCACGAUCUUAGAUGUUUGUCUCUACAUUCGUGUUGAAUCAUGUGCAAGCCAGUUUUUUGCAAGUCAAGUGAUAGUUUGUUAGUGCAUGUAGUUUGAGCGCAGUGGGUGUUGUUCAUGUGGUCAUUGAAUCUGUUUGUGGGUGCCACAACAAUGCACACUAUGCUUUUGAAUCUGAUGGCUGUGAGGAUCCCAGUAUAGGGGAGACCCAGCAUUCAAGCCAUCUGGUGGAAGAAUGGGUGAAAACGAUAUGGACUAUGAUCAGAAUGAGAAAUCGAUGGCUGCACUUCGAAGGCGUCUUCGUAAAGCACAGAGUGCGUACUAUCGAUACAAAAGGUGUUAGUUGUUACUUCCUGCCUUAUUGUUGCAGUAACGAUAGUUAUGAAUCAGAUCGUCGAUGACUGCUUGUCCUACCUGUACUUGAUUCGAUAUUUUAGCUGGUGGUUUCCCUUUGCAAUCACGGUAGCACAGACAACUGUACACAGUGAAGCUCUUUGCUGCUUAAGUAACUUAGAAGCUUGCAAUGAGGGUUCUGAAGCCCAGAAACUUAUGUCAAUUCUGCUGAUGGUGAUAAUAAUCUGCCACUCGUUUUUCUCUGAAUGAUCAGUGACUACACGUUAUAUAUUUGGGAGGCACUUGAAUUGGAAGAGAUAGUGAAGAAUGUUCAGCGGGGGAGUAAUACAGAUGGGUAUUUAUUCAGGCUUUUCCUGCACUGGUCGCACGCCACCAUCUAAACGAGUCUUUGAACAGAAUUAUUCCAUUCACAAAACUCGAUAGGCAAUAUGAUCUUUCUCAUUCCAUUGCAGUCUUAGAGUUUAACAUUCGAAUUCUGUAUUCAGAUUUAUAAUUGAAAAUGACUGGCCAUCUGUUCAUAGUUUUCUAUUCGAGAUUCUCUUUUUGUUGCAGGCGAUUUGUGUCGACAAUUCGACCACAACGUACUGGCCCCCUUGCUGAUUUUCUUGAUAGAGCUGGUAAGUUUUCUAUUGAUGAAUUUGACCCGUUUUGUUGUUAGAACAUAUGAGCAAUUUUUAUAGUUUUAUUAUGACGGCCAUGCUUGAAUGUGAGUGAUGCGAAGCACGAAGUACGAAGCACUGACAUUCGUACAACCAUGCCCUCUCAUCCAAAUCGCUUCAGUAUUGUGAUGUGCAUGUUUUGACCGCGAUUGGAUUUCUCUGUAACUCCGACCUACGGUACUCGUGAAGUUAUGUUGCCAUUUAGUAAGAUGUUUUGUUGAUUUUCUGAAACUUCUUUGUAGCGGCGACUAAUUUUCUUUCUCAAUUAUGAACUUGGUUGCAGAGUAUGUGUGGUGCUCGCAACUUAAACAGUAUGUGGUUAAAAUUUCAGCUAUAUUUCUAGGAACCAUGUCUCUUGCAAUUGUGAUGGCUGAAGCCACCCUUAUGGUCGAAGCAGAUCUUUCUCUCUUGUCUUUGCUGCUCAGAGCGGUUGGAAAUUCAGAAAUACUGGUACAGGUUAGUCAUCAUGGCUUUCGCACUGUAACCGACACAGCGUUGGUUAUUAUAUUUGUUUCAUAGGCUGAUGGAAAAGAAUAGUUUUAAUGUCAAUUUUUUAAAAAUUCCAUAGCGGACGUUCUUUGAACUGAUGGGUGGAUGUGACUUCAGCCAGAUAUGUCUUCAAUCUCAACCCCUGUGGAAGAGGUGUUGAGGCAGUUUUGGCUUAGUAUGAGACGAAUCGUAGUUCUUAGCUCCAGUCGUUAGAACUAAUUUGGAAACUGUCUCUGUCUGAUAACGACAUCGUGGCUACUGUAUCGUUUGAGCAGUAUUCUACGCGAAAACGUACGUUUGUGCAAUGUGCUGCAGGUGGUUGCAUUUGUACCUUUGGCAUAUAUGUGUGUGUGUACGUAUUUUUCUCUUAUCAAGUUGGGAAUGAUGACAAUUUAUUAUCUAGCGCCAAAGCAAACUAGCUCUGUCAGCUUACUCAUGAUUUGCUCGUAAAAUAACUUACUCCUUUACAUUCUUUCCUUCUCAUGUACUUGCCUUAGUCGAGAAAGGUAAUUUUAAGCACUUCACUCCCUUGUUAAUUAGUAGAAGGCGGUUACAAGUUAACAACAUUUGACAUCAUGCCAUUUCUCACCUGAACUACUGCAACUAAGUCGUUGCGAUCCCAGUUGCACAUCAAAUUGCUUAAAAAUGCUUCCAUAUUUAAUGUUUGUAUAGCUGAUAACUCGCUAUUGAGAAUAUUUAUCAUGCUGUAGAUAUUCCGUGUGGUAUUUUGUUAGCCCAUAACUAGUUAGAACGACAUCAGUGGUAUCGUCAAUUUGUGUAAUAAUCCUUCGAAGGGUCUACUAAGACUAGUACAGCUGGGCAAUGACUUGUUUACGUUGAAAGAGUAUUUGGUUGUGAUCGCAGGAUGAUUGCGAGGUAUGCAGCACCCCUCUGUUACAACUUUCUGGGCCUGAUCAAGCUCAAGAAUGCAGACGGAACCGAUCAGAAAACUGUUUUUGAGGAUGCAAGUAUAAUUCCUUAUGGAAACUUUGGUGGUUGAAGCAUUCAGUUGACGAUGGAGACUAUUAGUUUUAUGAUCUUGUGCCCGCUUCACUUUUGAGUCCCUGAUUUUCAAGUUGAAUACUAGAAUGCAAUUUUAGUGAAAGUCUUUUACAAGAUGAUACAUCACUUCCCUCAAUUUGGAGUUUUUUUAGAAGCUGAUUGUGACGUUAUUGGUGGAUGCAGAAAAUGGGUUCUAUGACUGUAAUCCCCUUCAUUGGAGAUGAAAGAUUCAACACUUUCUAUCCAAUAUUCAUGGUAAUUUACACUGGCUUACUGGCCAGCAAUGUCUUGAACCGUACAAUGAGUUACUUCGGCAGCUGGCGAUAUUUUAGAAGCCGUGACGCUGAAGAUGGUCAAGGGUUUGAUCCGUUGGGUCUUGUCAUUCUCCGUAAAGGUAUGUGAAUCUCCAAUGGUGAUCAAAUUUAUUUACCUUGGUUAAAGGUCGGUUGUGAGUGAGUUGUUUCUCACCACUUAGUGGAUAAGUGAAAAUUUGAUGAAGUGGUAUACAUUUCACGUGCAACGAUAGUCUUUCAUCAGUAAAAAUAUUAACUGCCAGGUUAGAAUCUAUUGUCGUGGACCGUGGAAAUUGAGGUUGAGGCAUUUGGGUUGUUCUACACUACCAAUGUGAAGUAUUGUAUGUUCAGGCUCUUUUUGUACCCAUUUAUGUUUGCUGGCGUGCAGAGCGGUCUUGGCUUCAGCAGGGUGCUGUAGUAGGAGAGAAUGUUGUGCCCCUAGCUCGCAACUUUGGCAGCGCUGAAUUGGACGUUGAACCUGAGGGAACCAAUAUGAAGGUAAUUACUCGACCUCGUGCUUAUGGUGACGAUAAUAUUUCAAUUGAGGACUUCGUUCAGUCUCAAAAUGAAGCAACUUUUCAACACGAGGAUCGGUCCAUACCGUCAAUUUCCAUGCCAAAUAAGUCGUUAGACACGACGUAUGUGUAUCUCCAGGGAAUGAGCAUUAUAAAUACAUUCUUUUCUUCCUCAUUGAUUGUCUAAUCAUAGGAGUGACUUGUGCCUUGUGCCCUGAAACUGCUGGUGCUGUUUAAAUAUGUCAGCCUUCGGCUCAUCUCUGCAUCGUAGUUUCGUAAAUCCUCCCGUAAUAUACUGAUAAGACGUUGUGUUGCAGAAGGCAACUUCUGACAAACAGGACUUGCAACAGAACUCAUCUUUGAUUAGUGCAUACAGUGCACCACCAGAUAAACACGAAGGCUCUGCUUAUUAUCAAUAUGGACGAGUGAAAAAUUCCCCAUCUAAGAGUGAUAUUGUUUCCAAGUACGCCACACUUCGAGAUGUUUCUAAAGCACCCUCCAGUGGCAAUCACAAGAUCCCAAAGAGAGAACCUUCUGGUAACAAUAUCAGAGACCCUUUCGAAGUGCAACAUGGGGAGUUGACGAGAGGGGUGACUCCCUCAACGAAGUCACCGGAACCUCCAGCAUCAACUGACUUGCAAACUGCAUCGCCUAGAAAUCCUCAACAGUUGGAUAGCUCAGUUGGUAUCAAGUUUCCAGUGAACUGGGACAUAAUGAAGUCUGGGUGGCAGAACUUAGGAACAAAUCGGUUUUCCCCUGAAAGAAAUGACACGGUUAGAAGUCCACCACAACCCACUUCCACACAGACACUAGAUAGAAUUUUCGAAGGCCUGAGAGCAAGGAACUGAGUUUUAUAUCAAAGGUCCUGCAUCUGGAACUACUCUUUCGUGGAAGCUGAAUGCUAACGUCUUCCCUUGAUUAAUGUGCAUUUGUGAAUACCGAGGUGUGUUCUACAAACCCCAGCUCAUCCUUACUCACUGUACUGUUUUAGAAUACAGUUUUCUUGAUUUUAUAAUUGGUUUAUUGCAUGGCAUGAAGUCCCUGAAAGCAUGGAUUAUUUGGUGCAAAUUUUCAUAUGUAAUUUUUGUGCAUAUUUCUAGAUUUUUGUUCAAAAUUGAUUAAGGUUUUGCUUUAAAUAUCUUUAAUGGGUCUUCAGGAAGUGCAAGGAUGUACAAGAUUUGAAUUUUAUAUUUUGAAUGAUAGAUAAAACAAGAAACAAACAAAUGAUUGUUUGGCAUGCAGGGUGUGAGAGGAUAUCAUUAAAUUCAAUUGAUGACAUAUAUAUAUAUAUAUAUAUAUAUAUGUAUACAUACUAGUUGAACCUGUGUGCCAUUGUCAUAGAGAAUAUGCAAAAAUAUAUUAUACUAGAAAUUGGGUACAUCUUCAAUAUCAAUAAUAAUGAAACAAUGUUGUAAAAUUGAGCUUUUAAGUAUGCAUAAGUAUACAUACUUACAUGCAUAUGUGUAAUGAAUGUGGUUGUUAAUUAAUAACAUCACAUACUUGUGUUAUCUUAGAAUUGUCAUGGUAUCAUAUUUAGAAUUUAGAACAUUCAAUUUAUAAAAACUAUAUGUGAAAUGGUUUCAUAAAAUUAUAAUAAAACAAGUGAUGCACCUCAUCAAAAUUCCUAUUCAAUCCAAAAAAAGUCACACAACAUCGUUUAUUCUUUUAUGAGUAGGAUAUGGAAUAUCUUAGUGAGUAUCUUGUUUAAGGGUUUGCUAAUUCUGGAAGAAUUUGAUUUGGAGUUUCUUUGCAAAAAAGUUUGCCCUUAAGCUCAUGGAUAAUGUGAAAAGGAAAUUUUAAUCUUUGAAAGAAAGUCUAUAAACUUCAACUAGUCAACUGAGGUUAAAAAGUUUGCUAUAAGAACAAAGUUUAUGUCAAGACAAACUUGUCUUAUAACUUUGUUGUACAUAUAAGUGAAUUAGAAAUUUUAAAUUAUUCUAAUUCAUGUUGAUAUCACAUGGAUUUUGUAAAAAAUUGAUGGUCUCCACAUGAAAAAUUCUUUUACUUUAAAAAAACCUCUUUGUAUUUAGUAAUCAUUUUAUAACUCAUAUUGCAAAGAUUUGUCUCUUAUUAUUAAAAAGAUUUAGAAAUAAUUUGGUGUUGAAUUAGUUGCAGUGCUUUUUUGACUAUCAUAUUCAACAAUCAAUAUUAUUCUUGAGCAAAAGUUCAAGACACAGCACACAUAAAGGUAACAAAUAUAUGAAGCACAAUUACAAAAAUUAAUAGUUGCAAAAAAUGAUUUGAUUCAAGAAAAAUGGAUUUUUCUUUGGUAUUUGAUGAUCAUCUGCACACUAGUGCUUGAAGUAAUAAUACCAGCUUUAUAAAAGGCAAGGAUUAUCAUUUGAAAAUUAUAUUCAUAUAGAUUUAAAUCUCAAUAAUAUUUUUGUCACCAAGUAGGUUCUAUAUGUUGAUAAUUAAAGCAGAGCAUACUUUCUUGCUUAGAAACACAUAUUGCUCAUGAAAAUUUAGCUUCUCCUAUUUCAGAUUCAAAUAAUUUUCCUUGAUAAUUGAAUGUCAUGAAGUCCAAGAUUGUAAAGAAUAUUAUUACUCUACAAGUACAGUCACUUGGUACAUGAUUGAACAAAAGUAUUAUGUUUAAUGAGAUCAACAUGAACUUCACAAAAGCAUUUGUACUUUGAAAUACCUGCCCAAACAUUUUAUUGCUCAUUCUCUAAUAAAAAUUAAAUUUAAAAUACUCUUAAGCAAACAUCAAACUUCAGAUCAUCACAUUCUUUUAUUAAAAAAAUAAAGGCUUUUAGGAUUUCCACCUAUUUGCUUCCACAUUUGGUAAUACUAUAAGAAAAGAACCUAGUACUUUUAGAUUAGUCCAUAAAAACAAAAGAAGACUUAUAGUGACCUCAACGAUCACUUGAAAAGUAGAGCAACAAAAGACACUAAUCACAUCACACCCCAUUAUUAAGAAAAGAAAGGAAACAAAUCAAAUCUAUACAUGCAAUCAAAUACUUUUAAGAAAGAUAAAUGGUUUAAAAAUUCCACUCACUUGUACAUUUUAUUCUCAGAUCUUCAAAGCACUCUUUUUUGUAAAAAUAAAAAAUAAAAAAUAGAUCUAUUGCCACAAGUUUUGUAUAUGCAAAAAUUAACAUAUAUUGAGAUAUUUGUUGACAUCAUAUUAACUACAAUAUAAAUUUAUACUCAGUCAUCUCUUCAACUCCUACAAUCACUCUUGUACUUCUAAAAGAGGAAAUUUUUAUUUAUUACUUAUAAACUUAUGCACAUAAUUCAAAUAAUUAUUAUUCAAAAUAAUAAUCUCUAUUAAUAUGAAUCCACUCUUGCAUAAUCCUUGCAAACCUCUCAAAGUGAGCAAUCAAGUUAUAUCUUAUUAUACAAAAUGAAACAAAAUCACUUCAAUUUUUUUAAUCAUUGACCUCAUUAUCCAACUCAAGAGAAGAAUAUUUUUGUAACAUUGAAGAGGAUACAAUCAAAAUUUGAGCUUUACAUAGAUGCUUCACAUAUCACGUAGUUACAAAAAGUUAAGCUUUACAGUUGUUUGUAGCAACUAAAUUAGAUAUGCCUUUUGUACUAAACCAAAGUAUAUUAAAGAAUGGCCAAAAUAAGCUCUUCUUUAGAGCUUUUUUCUCCCCUCCUCUCAAAAAAAAUACAUGCUAUUGCUACACUAUCCACCUCAUGAUCAGCUAGCCCGCCACCAUUAUUCAAGCUAGAUUUGAAAAAAACAAUCUCUACCACAUUUCAAGAAGAAUUGAGCUCCAAUUUCAACACCACUUUGAACAGUGCUAGUACUUCUGCAAUCCAACUGAUAAUGCAACUUUGCUUGCAACUAAACUAUCUUUUUUUGGAAGCAAUCCAAUCUACAUGCAAAAUAUAUCAAUAUAUGAUUAACCAUAACCAAAAGAAUAAUAGAAUGGUAAUACUCUUGUUGCCAUGUACAACUUAAAAUAAAAUGAGCAUAUGGUAUUACCUUCUUCAAAGAUGCCUCUCCAACACUUCUUCUUUGGGAGCUAAACAAUUCUUCAUUGCCUGAUUUUCUUCAACAUUGAUAUUUGGAAUAUAUACGUGCCAUACCACAAUCGAAAUACAUUAAUUUUCAGAAAAGUAAAAAAAUAUGAAUCUAUUAAUUUGAUAGUAAAUCUAUCAAAUGUGAAUCUAAUUGCAAAUAUGGAAUCAGUGAUUAAGGGAUAUUUGUAUCUUACCAAUGUCUGCCAUAAUUACCACUUCCUCAAUAUGCUCCAAAAUUUGCACAUAUUUAAACAUUGAAAUAAAGAAAUUGAAUACAUUGUUUUUAAUGCUUUUAAUGAAAAUAAAAAAAGAUGUAUGUAGAAAAUAUAUUGUUCAACACAUUGUUCAUCCAAAAUUUCAUGUUCUAUUAAGGCCUUGUGAACUCCAACAUUUUACUUUUGAUGAAAACAAAGAAAGAUGCAUAUGGUAAAUCAAAACACCAUUUUGUCUCAAUUGAAUUGUAUAUAUAUACAUAUAAUAUAAGAAUGAUUAUUUAAAAAAUUAUUUAUCAUUAAAUAAUACUAAAUUUAUUUAAUUCUACUAAUAAAUAUAAUUCAAAAAAAUUAUAUUUUAAAGUUAUUUAUAAAUCUAUAAUAAUAAAAUAAAUUUAUUUUGUUUUUGUUUUUUUAUGUUGUUGCAAGGUUUUUAAUAAAUAUAUAGUUUUGCAACAAAGAUAUUGACUUAAAAUGAUUUCUAAAUAAUAUAAUAUUAAAAUAUUAAUAUCAUUUUUAUUACUUUAUUUUAAUUAUGAAUUAAAAAUAAAAGAUAUUGUAAUAUAAUUGAAUUGUAUAUUGAUACCAACUAAAGAAGUUUUUAAGAAUCUAAAGUAUUUAGAAAAAUAAUAUAUUAAUAAUAUAUAUUCAAUUAAAUUUUAUUAAUAUUUAUUUGCAUUGAUUUAAAUAAAAAAUAUUCUAGUAUUUUUUAUUAAAUUUAUUAUUUAAAAAAAAUCUUAUUUUUUUAAAAAAAUUAUAUAUUUUCUUUUCAGAUAUAUAUUUUUUAUUUAAAAUUAUAUCUAUUAAAACUUUAAAAAUAAAAAUAUGUUAAAUCCUAUAGUAAGUUUUGUAAAGACAAAAUAUUUUCUAAAAUAUUAUAAUAUUUAUAAGAUGUUUAUAAAAAAAUUUAGCUACUAUAAAAGUUAAUUAAAAAUUUUAUAUAAAUUAAUUAUAUAGUUUCUUAAUAAUUAGAGCCUUUUAUUGAAUUUAAUAAUGAAGAUAAUUAAAUUAAAUUAUUCUUUUAACAUUAGUUAAGUUUACAUGGAAUACAUCUAAGAUAGUUGACUUAUUAGAACUACCAAAAUUUAGUAAUAGCAUUUGUAAAAUUUUUGAUAUUUAAAAUAAAUUCUAGCUAUCAAUAUAUAAAGGCUCAAGUUACUAGUAAAUUUUAAGUUGUUACACAUACACUCAAAAAAUUGGAGGCCUUUGAUUGACUAAUUGUUGUUGUCUAGACUCUAAUACUUGGCACAAUUGCAAGGAGGUUAGGGAGGAUGCAAUGCUUUUCUAUGGUGGUCCUAUUGAUCAAUUAAUGAGCAAUGUCUUGUGUGGAGGUUUUUGGAAAUAAAGCUAUCAAAAGAAAAUUUUGAAUUUGAACUCUAUCCCACUCUUGUUUACCAAUAUUGUUUAUUAAUAUGUUAGAUUACAAUACAUAUUAAGUUUAGGAUCAAAGCUUUACUUUGUUUCUUUUAAGUUUUUGUAGCAUUGGACUCAAAAGUAGUGAAUGCAUUUGCAUGCUAUACUUGCAUCAUUUUUUUAUUUUUUAUUUUUUAUUUUUUUAUUUUUAAUAAGAAAUGAUAUGCAUUCUUUAGUAUUAAAUUAUUUAUUCUUUGAUAUUUACAUUACUUCAAUCAAUUCUUUGCUCCACAUUUACAAAUGAUGAUUUUUUACUAGCUUUAACUUGCUUAUUAAUAUUCUUGUGGAUUACUAGAAGAGAAGAUUUUAUCUCAUGAAAAAAAUUUAUGAAAAAAAUCUAAGACAUGAAAGAAAAGCAAGAAUUUAGUUCAAUCAAUGAUUUAUCUAUGGCCAUGCUUAGAAUUAUCAUAAUACUAUAUUAUGUAAGAUGUUCUAUUAUUUAGAAUCUUAUUAACUUUCUGAUAGGCAUGCUAUUCCUCUUCAAAUAAAUCUGUUUGUAAUUUAUCAAUCUUUAUAAGUAUAAAUAUAAUUUGAAUAUAAAUUUCAAAAUUGAUAUCAAUUAUUUUUAAGGAAGAAUAUAAUACUAAGAUUAAAAGAAAAUUUUUCUACAAUAAGACCAUAAAUAGCUAAUUAUCAAGGACAAGAAUUUGAUAAAAAUAAAUAAACAAGUGAGACUUUUCUCAAAGAAAGAUGACAAAAUAGAAAUAACUAAAUAUGUAUAUUAAGAAAGAAACUUGAAUGGCUAUUGCCAAAAGAUAAAAAAACUAGAGACCCUUGAAACUAGACUAUAAGCAAAAAAGAAGUUGAUAAGAGAAGAAGGCUUCACUCUUGCCUCUAUAUAUACUAUCUAUCUAGGAGCUACGUGGCGAUGUCGUGUUGCAACACGACUAUAUGGUAAAAAUAUAAAUGGAAAAUAUUUAUUAAUAUUUAGUCAUCUUAGAUGUUAGAAACAGUGGCCAAUUCCAGUGCCAAUAUUCAGAGGCCAGUUAAUAUCACCCCAUUGCAAGCUAUACCACCGAAUGUAACAAUAGUGUAUGCUCCACAGGCAUCAUCGAACCAAGUACCCUCCAUACCAAUGGGACAACCAAGAUCAUUUUCUAAUCUUACAUGGAACAAGCCUAGUAAGUAUAUACCAAUGGAGACACCCAAUAUGCCUGAUGGAGGUGCAAGAAGACCACUUCGUUGUUUCCAUUGCAGACAGGUUGGUCAUUAUGCUAGUGAAUGUCUCAAUCCUAGAGCCAAUGACAAUUACGUGCUAGUGUGUGGGAAUAGUAAGCAGUCAGGGCAUACUUAUCAACAAUGUAAUGCCCCGUUUAAUUUCAAUAAUUGGGAUCAAUAGAUCCAAAGCCAGGGAAAAAUUGAAGGAAUAAAUCGAGGUCCUUAAGAUUCUCUAGUAAAUCGAGUAGAAUAAGUGCGAGCUGUUCUUACCAGGAAUUGACGAAAGGAAAAAGGACCAAUUCAAUAUUUAGGUGAGUCUGAUGUGAAAGGCCAAUUUGACCCAAUUACAAGGACAUUCAAUCCAGGUCCUGGUAUGGGCCUCUUACCCAAUAUGAGACCUGACUCAGUUGGGCAAUCCAAUGAGGUCCCGAAUACGGAGGCUUCAGUUCUAUUUCAAGCUGUUCCAUUCUCUAUGCCGUUUCAAGGAAACAUCUUUUUCAUGGAAAGAUCCUCUUAGAGGUGGAAAUUCUAUGGAAGCGGGUCUAUUGUUCCAAUUCAAAGUCCAAGGCGGAAGAAUAGGGGACCUCACGGAGUUAAAGGAAAGGAUAGGAAAAAGAAGGGGACAUUCGGAGAUCAAGAUUUUGGAGUCAGAGAGCUAGCUUCAAGCUCCUUUGAAAGGUAUAGAAUUGGAUUUCAUAGGAUUUGGCAGGACUUUGCAAUCGUUACUCAAAGUUAGCGUUUGUAUUGGUGAAUUGGAUUUUUGCAAUAAAGUAAAGGCUAGUACUCUUGAUUGUUUUGCGAAAUUGGAGAGACAUCUAUGGUUGAAAUUUUAGAGGUGUCUAGAUGGUUGAGUAUACUAAGUGCAUGCAAAAAUUUGUGUUAAUCUUAUGGUACAGAUAGAGGAUAUUUGAUCAUUAGUAUAAAGAGGUAUCAGAAGUUGGCAUAUUAGAGUUGUUUAGGAUUUUUGUAAUAUGUGAGAUCUAUCAGCUGGAAUAAGGUGAAUUUUGAUACGGCAAGUCAAGGAUUCAAAGGCGGAGCUACACACAAAGUUUGAAUGAGAAUUAACAAUCAAAGAAGGAGAAAUUGUAAGUUAAAGUUCGUCAUCAACCUUCUAGGCGGUGGUCAAAGGACUUCAACGUGGAUUUACGGUGUUUUCUUGUAAUCUGUAAGUUGGAUUGGAUUGAACUUCUUGAGUAUUUAGAAGACUUGUAAAAAUACUAGUGGUAGAAGUCUCACAAUAAUCGGAUAGUCAAAUUGACAAUUACAGCUUGUCGAGGCUUGCUGUUUAAGGUUAGGAUUUAAAAAAAUAAAAAAAUAAAUGAAAUAGAAAUAAAAAUAAUAAAUAAAAAAAGAAUCUAUGCUUAUAAUAUCUAUAAGCUAUUAAAAAUAGUAUUCUAAGUAGUUUAUAUUGGAAUUAAGCUUUUAUAUUGAAAUCCAAAAUAAUUUGUGUUUAGAUAGUUGAAACACACUAGACUACUUGGAUACUUGCAAAACAUCGUUUUAUCUUUGACUGUCAUACGUCCGGUGUGUUCUCAAGCUAGAUAGCAUGUAAUACAACAACGACAUUCUAUAGGACCUCCAAAAAUGUAUUGACUUUACACAACAAGUAUCUUAACUUGCAAGGUAAGUUUUCUAUGUGGGCGCCAUAUAGUUAGCGUAUUCUGCAAGCUAUCAACAUGUAUGGUACGUGGUUAACUUGUUGACCAAGUUUCUAACCUAUCAAUCAAGUAUAAAUACAUGUAAAGUCAAAGCAGUGUCUAUGAAGCUUCUAAGAAGCUACUUUAGAAGAUAUUAUGAAAUUAAUCUACUUUUACCUACUUCUUCCUAUUUAUAUCACCUAGGUAACAAUUACAAUAAAUAUAUGUCCAUGAUAUUGCCCCCCCUUCUAGGAAUAAGUUCCACAAGGAGUGGUGAUUACAUGUUGAGAAAGUCCAAGAUGCGACAAAUUAUAUUUGCCACAUACUUUGAUCUUUGUUCUCUUCAAAGAUGAUUGAUAGGGCCUCUCAACUAUCAAUAGUGUCCCAUAUCAGGGUAAGAAGACCACCAUGUUAUUUGAUCUUUGUUGAGGUCUUGAUAACUUCCUUCAAAUAAAAUACUUGGAAGACCAUCAAGAUUUGUUCCUAUCUUUAGUAAAAUCACCAAACAUUGGGAGUCCCCUCCAAGGUCGUGAUACCAAACGCGUUGUAUCUUGCCAUUUAUUCGAGGAAGAACAUGUCGUUCUUAAGGAUCUUCAUCUCCAUUACGUCGUCUUAAACAUUGUGACAAUCAUAAUGUCUCAUCAAACAGGUUAGCAAACAAAGGUUCUUCAGUCGAACCCAUUGGUUGUUGGUUCUCCAUCUCCUCAGCAUCACAACUACAAAAAAACUACAAACAAGGAUUAAAAGUAGAAUGUUAUCUUAUUUAAAUCUUGUUUCUUUUAUAAGAGAGAUUUUUAUUUUGAUUUUGAUGGAUGUCAUCAAUGAAAAGCUUCCACCACCUUUUUUGUAUUUACAAGAUUCUUUAUUGGCUCCCAUGUACAUUCACUAAUAUCAUAUCCGUGUCAAUGGACAAGAUAUUCUAAUUUAUUUUAACGCCGCCUUGAAUCUAGGACUUCUUCCACUUCGAAGUCUUCAUUAUUAUCUACUUCUAUAAGAGGAGGUAGAGCUUGUCUUCUUCUUGGUAUGUCCAUUGUCUUAUAUGAUUCAAGAAGAGAUACGUGGAAUACUGGAUGGAUUUUCAUUGACUUUGAUAGGUAUAAACAAUAUGCAACUUGAUUGAUUUGUACAAAAAUAGAAAAUAGUCCAAGUCUUUGAUAGACCAACUUGUCACAAGAACAAAUGGUCUUGAUAUUGUGAUGAAAGAACUAUACCUUGUCACUCAUGUGGAAUGGUGGUUGUUCCUUUUGAUAGACAUCUGCAUUCAUCUUUUGUUGUUCUUGAGCUUCUUUUAACUACACCUUCAUUGUUGCAUGUAGGUCUAACAAAUGAUUUACCAAAUCUUUUGUCGCACGAUUAUCAACUUUUGAAAAGUCAAAAGUAUCAAGUCAUGGAUGAUAACCAUAAUUGGCAAAGAAAGGUGUUUAUUUUGUAGAAGAAUAUAUCUUGUUAUUAUAAGCAAACUUUGCCAAUGGCAAAAGAAUUGUCCAAUCAUCUUGUUGGUAGUUGAUGGUACAUCUUAAAUAUUACUCCAAAACUUGAUUAACAUGCUCUGUUUGUCCAUCAAUUUGAGGAUGGAAUACCAAAGAUACUUUUAUAUCCACUUUUAGAAUCUUGAAAAGAGUCCACCAAAAUCUUGAUACGAACUAAGUUCUCUUAUUGGAUAUAAUAUCCUUGGGUAAUCCAUAACAACGAUAGAUGUUGUUAAGAAAGAGUUUAGCUGUUACUCCACAUAUGAUAGAUUUUGUACAUGAUAUAAAAUAUGCCAUCUAGGUAAAAAUUUCUAUUAUCAUGAAUAUAGAGUCAUAAGAACUUGAGAUUGGAAGAUCUAUGAUAAAAUCCAUAAAAAAAAAAGACCAUGGUUGUUCUAGAAUAGGUAAUGGCUGAAGAAAUCUAUAAGGUAAAUGAUGAGGAGUUUUUGAUCUCGAGCAAACAUCACUAGAUUGUACAAAAUCUUUGACUGCCUUUCAUAUUUGAGGCCACCAAAAAUCCUUGGGUAUUAGUUCCAAAGUUUUAUUGUAUCCAAAAUAUCUUGCUCUUGGAAAGUCAUGACGAGCUUGAAGAACAUGUAAUCGAGCUUCACUUUCUGGAACAUAUAGGCGUCUGUCAAAAUAUAGUAGAUUUUUCUUGAAUUCAAAAUUAAAGGUAUCAUGAGACUUUGAAGGAUUUUUCUUAAUAUCAAGAAGAAGAUCAAAAGACAUAUUUGACUAAACUUGCUUAAUAAAAGUUGAAUCAACAGUUAGUAUUGAUUUCAUUACUUGAAGAUGAAGAUGCUCUAGCUUCAAGAGAAUUAUUUGUUGCUGAUCAAAAGUAGCAUCUCUUUCCUUUGGUGCGAGGUAAGAUCGUCUAGAGAGUGAAUCUGACAAACCUUGUUGUUUCCCUAGUUGAUAAGUGAUCUUGAAUUUGAAUCUUGACAAAAAUAUACUUCAACAAACUUAUUUAUAAUUCAAAAUACGUAUUAAUAUAAAAUAUUCAAGAUUCUUGUGAUCCGUACAUAUAGUGACUGGAUUAGGAGCACCUUUUAGAUAAUAGUACCAUUCUUGAAAUGAAUCCAUGAUUGCAAGAACUUCUUUGUCAUGGAUCUUGUAGUUGAUCUCGGCUGUUAAAAAGUUUUUAGAAUGAAAAGUUAAUAGAUGAAAUUUAUCAUCUGUUUCCAUUUGUGACAAUACGGCACCCAAAGCAAAGUCUGAUGCAUUUAUUUUUAUAAAAAAUGGCUUAGAAAAAUCAACGCAAUAUAAGAUUGGUGCAGAAACAAAGGCUGUCUUCAAAGCUUCAAAUGCUACUUCCGCUUCUUGAUUCCAUUGAAUUUUGUCUUUACAAAUCAAACAUAUAAGUAGAGAUGCAACUUGAGAGAAGUUUUUGAUGAAGAUUCAAUAGUAGUUGGCGAAUCCCAAAAAACAUUGGACAUCUCUUACCAUUAUUAGGUUCUUCCAAUCUAUAAUAGCUUGAAUUUUUUUAGUAUCCAUCAUAAGUCCAACAUUUGAAAUGAUGUAUCUUAAAAAGUUGACUUGAUUAAUGUGAAAUACUCACUUUUUUAACUUGGUAUAGAGUCUUACAUCUCUUAGUUUUUGUGACACAUGACGAACAUAAAGUUCAUGUUCUUUUGUGUUCUUAGAUUAGAUUAAGAUGUUGUCUAGAUAACAGAUAAUAAAAUCACCUAAAAAUUCUUAAAAGACAUCAUUCAUUAAAUGUUAGAAUGCUGCUGGUGCAUUUAUAAGUCCAAAAGAUAUGACGUUGUAUUCAAAAUAUCCAUACCUUGUUUGAAAUGCAGUCUUCUAUUUAUCUUAUUUUUUGAUGCAUAUUAUAUUAUAUGUUCUUUAUAAAUCUAUAUUUAUAUAGAUCUUAGCUUGAUUCAACUGAUCAAAGACUCCAAAUACCAAAAAUAGCUAGUACUUGUUCUUGAUGGUGAUUUUGUUGAAUCCUCAAUAAUCGACACACAUCCGCAAUGAUCUAUCUUUUUUCUUCACAAAUAAAAUUGGAACUCUUGUUGGAGAUUUGGAAUGGCAUAUGAAGUUCUUAGCCAAAUUUUCUUCAAUAUACUCCUUGAGUUCAACUAACUCAUUUUGUGAUAAAUUGUAGAUUAGUCCAAAUGACAAUUGUGCUCUUUCUUGAAGGUCAAUUGAGUAGUCAUAGGAACGAUGUUCUAAAAGAGUAUCAACAUUUUUCUUUUUAAAUAUAUCUUGAAAAUCUUGAUAUUGGCUUGGAAUGCCACUUGAAGUCUUUCUACCAGUAGAAACAGAUGUGACAUAAAUGAUACAAGGUGAUCUUUUUUUUGCAAUUUACAAGAAAGCUCUUGCACCUAAAAAUACAAGUUUAAUUGUACUAAACUUAAGUCUUUCUACUUGAUUAACUAUGCUCUUAGUUAUACUUUGAGAAAAGUCAAGACUACAAGAAGUUCAAUCUAUUUUAGGGUUAUAUUUUUUUAGCCAUGAUAAAUCUAAAAUGAUUGGAUUAGAGAAAGAUCUAAUGAUAUUAAAUAUUACAAAGGUCCUAUGAUCAUUAGUUGCUACUUCUAUAAGAAGGGUUUCAUGAGUAAUAUCUCCUAAAGACAAUGGAUGACCAUCUAUGACUUCUACAUGAAUAGGUUUAGUUUUCUUCACUAAAAGUAUGUUGUGUCUUUUAGCAAAUUCUUCAUCUAAGAAACAUGCUGAGGCUCCUGAAUCUAACAAGGUAAAGGCUUUGUGAUGUUUAGGUCCUAAAAUAAUAUUUAUCGUAAAACAAGGAGAGGGUUCUGAGGAGAGAAUAGGACCUUCAAUAAGUGUUGUAUAAGGUUCUAGCCACAUGGUCCCUAUUAUAGCUAAUUUUUUUUUUUCUAAUAUACUAUCUUCUUUAAUAGCUGUACUUCUCAUUUUAUAGUUGCGUCACUUCUUUUGAUAAUGUUGAGCAGUGUGCUUAGGUUUUCUACAAUAAAAGUAUAAUCCUUCCUGAUGACGACAAGUAUUUUUUUAUUCAAUAAAAGAUUUAAAAUGUACUACAUCAAUUUGCAUAUCUUCUACUUUCGAAUGUAUGUGUUGAAGAAAUGUUGGUAUUGCCAUUGAAUUAUAGUAACGUUGAGGUCCACUUGUACAGUUCUCAAAUUGAAAUUAAAAAAUACGAUUGUCGCACUUCACAUCAAAGUUAAUUACUUGACUCAAUGUUUGAGGAUCAAGUAAAUUGAGCAUUAAUUUUUUUUUUAUGUCAUAUUAUAAUCUAUAGAAAAAUUGGCUAACAAGUAUAGCAUCAUCUUACUUAAUAUCAGUUAUAAGUUGUCAAAAUUAAGAAGCAUACAAUGCUACUGAUCAAUUGCCUUAUCGCAAAAUAUGGAUCUUAUUGGUUAUGACAUAAAUUGCAUCAUGCUCUCCAUACAUAGGUCAAAAUUCUACCAAAAAAGCCUCUAGAUUAUCCAAUAUUGGAUCUUUUUUUUAUAAAAAAGAUAAAAACUAUGAUAAUCUUGAACCUAAAAAAACUAUACCAAUGAAUCUAACUUGUGAUCUUAGAGUUGAAUAGCUUUGGUAUUGAAGUUCAAUAAUAAGUUGUACUUGAUUGAUAAAUCCUCUAAACUUUGAUCUAGUGCCAUCAAACCUCUUAAGUAGGGCAAUUCUUGGUUCUCUAACAUUGGAAGGAUUUUCCACCAUAAGAGAAGGGAUAUGAUUUGGUGCAAAUAUUGAAGCAGCUUCAAUCAUUUCUAUAUCUUCACUUCCUGCCAAUCUUGUUGCUCCUUAUGGUGGUAAAUUGAAUUGAUACAUCGCAAGCAUUAACUCUCUCAAUUGCUCUUGUAUUUGUGCCAUUGCACUAUUCAUUUCAGUAAAUUCUACCAUGAUAACACUUAAAAAAGAGAAGAUGUUUAAUAUCGCUCAAGACAAAUAAAAGAGAGGACUUGAGAAUAAAGAAAAUACUAAAAAUAAUAUCAAUUUAGAAGAGGAUAAUCCGCAAUUUCUAAUACGCUUAUGUCUUAUCAAGAGAAAAGGAUAAUCCACUCUUAAUCAAGAUUAGAUAAAGCUCUGAUAUUGUAAGUGGAUUCUUGUCAAUCUGUCAAGGACAAGAACUUGAUAAAAAAAAAUAAACAAAUGAGACUUUUUUCAAAGAAAGAUGAUAAAAUAGAAAUAACUAAAUAUGAAUAUUAAGAAAGAAAAUGGAAUGGCUAUUGCCAAAAGACAAGAAAACUAGAGAUCCUUGAAACUACACUAUAAGCAAGAAAGGAAUUGACAAGAGUGAAUAAGGCUUCACUCUUGCCUCUAUAUAUACUAUCAAUUUAGGAGCUACGUGGAAACAUUCUAUAAGACCUCCAAAAAUGUAUUGACUUUGCACAACAUAUACCUUAACUUACAAGGCAAGUUUUCUAUAUGGGCGCUAUAUAAUUAACUUGUUCCUCAAGCUACCAAUAUGUCUAGCACGUGGUUAACUUGUUGACUAAGUUUCUAACGCACUAAUAAAGUAUAAACACAUGUAAAGUCAAAGCAGUAUCUAUGAAGCUUCUAGGAAGCUUCUCUAAAAGAUAUUAUGAAAUUAAUCUACUUUUACUUACUUCUACCUAUUCAUAUCUCUUAGAUAACAAUUACAGUAAAUAUAUGUCCGUGACACUAGUGUAACAACUUUAGAUCAUUUAUCAAAAGUCAUAAAUCUCUUAAAUAAGAUCUAUCUAUACUCUUUUAAGUAUUUAUGACAAUGCUUGAAUAUUAUAACAAAUGAUUUAUAAAAAUAUAAUUCUAUAUAUCUACAAAUUUAUAUAAAAAAAUUUAUUCUAAAAAUAUAUAUAUAUUUUGCUUUCAUACAAUUAGAGCUUCCAUACCAUCCACAUUUGAGAAUUUAAUUGAAAGUAAUCUUAAUUAUCUAGUCAUCAUUGUGAUGGCCUUACACAUGACUUUACUUUUCAAAUCUUAUGAAAUGACAUUUGUCUUAGGACAAAAUAAUACAAAAUAUAUGUAGUAGUAUUGAUAUUUCACACUAUAUAUUUUUUUUUAUUUUCUUUUUUUAUAAUAUUAUUUAUCUUUUGUUGUAAUAGUCUUAAAAAAAUAAUAAGAAAAUUCAAAUUUGAACUAUGUCUUCACAUUGCCUAUUGAAAUGGUAGGCAAAUAUGAUUUAUUUGCCAAUAUUUAAUAUCAUUAUAUCCAUUUCAAAGCAUUGGCAAUGCUUUAUGUUUAAAGUAAUAAAAUCAAAAGAAAUAUUUUUUCAUGUCAUUCCUUUGUGGUAAAUGUGUUAAAAACAUAUAUUUAUUAUAAUUAUUACCUAGAUAAUAUAAAUAGAUAGAAAUAAGUAAAAAUAGAUUAAUUUCAUAAUAUCUUUUAAGAAAGCUUUCUUGAAGCUUCAUAAAUGCUACUUUGUCUUUACAUGUAUUUUUACUUGAUUGGUAGAUUAAAAACUUAGUCAAUAAGUUAACCAAGUGUCAAAUUUUGUCCUGAUGUAAAUCAGCUAGUAGGUAAAAGGAUGAAGAAAAUAUCAUAUUUUUCUUAUUUCAAAUAUAUUAUAACAAAUUAUCUAAAAAAAUUAGAUAUUUUAUUGUAAAUAUAAAAAUUAUCUAGAAAAAUUAGAUAUUUAUACCUAAAAAAGGCCAGUUAUGAAUUAGGAUCAAAAUCAGAUCCCUAGGCACAAAAACGAGCUCCUAUGAUGAUUUCGGGAUUCUUUGGCAGAUUAAAGAGUGGAAUUAGAAAGCAAACUUCAUAGGAUUUUGAUGAGCAUUGGUUUUGGAUGAUUUGAAUUUUUAUUGACUUUGUAAGAGCUUUGCAAAGUCAGGGUUUAUUUUGGAUGACUCUGGAUUUGUAAAAUAAAGUACGUGAUAUUUUUUGGAGAAUUUUAUAAGUUUUGCAAAAGAUCUAUAGAUGAAAUUUUAAGUGUUUGUGGGUUUAUAUGUGUUCAAUAUAUGUUGUGAAUUUGAGCUAGUUCAAAGGAUUAGAUCAAGGAUUAUUGAGGUUUAAAAAGAUCAAGGUCUCAAAAAAUAGAGCUUUAGAUCUAGUAAGGGUUUCUAAGAUUUCUUACAAUUUAUUAGUUGGAUUGGAGUGAAAAUUAUUUCUAUGAGUAGUAGACUUGUUUUUUAUGUAUGUGAGAAAUUUGAGAUCAAUUGAAUGAUUUGAUAAGGAGAUAUUGGCAUUGAAAAUUCAACAUUCAGAUUGGAGAAGGAAGCUAGCCAACAUCCAUGCAAAUAUUAGGGUUGAUCUUCUUUUUGAUAAGUUUGAUCUUCUUAAAAAAAAAAUUCUUGUUUUCAACUUAAUUUUGAAGAAGUGUACAAAAUUUGAGUUAAAAUCAAUGGUUCAUUCAUUAGUAAUUGAGAUUUAAAUGUGCUAUAGAAAUUACUUGAAAUUAUUUAAAGUUUGGUUAGGAUAUGUUAAGGAUUUGAUUAGGAUUUGGUUAAGAUUUUAUUAGAUUUAUUUAGAUUUUGUUUAGAAUUUGGUUAGGAUUUAUUAGGAUUUAUUUAGAAUUUGACUAAAAUUUAUAUAGGAUUUGAUUAAGAUUUGAUUAAGAUUUGGUUAGGAUUUGUUUAGGAUUUGAUUAAGAUUUAGUUAGGAUUUAUUAUGGUUUUACUAGAAUUUGGUUAGGAUUUGACUAGGAUUUAUUUAGGCUUUGAUUAAAAAAAAUUUAGGAUUUAUUUAGGAUUUGACUAGGAUUUGGUUAAGGUUUAUUUAGAAUUUGAUUAGGAUUUGAUUAGGAUUUAUUUAGGAUUUUAUUAAGAUUUGAUUAGAAUUUUUUUAGAAUUUUAUUAGGAUUUAUUUAGGAUUUAUUUAGGAUUUAUUUAGGAUUUAUUUAGGAUUUAUUUAGGAUUUUAUUAGGAUUUUAUUAAGAUUUAUUUAGUAUUUUUUUAGGAUUUUAUUAAUAUUUAAUUAAGAUUUCUAUUUUAAUAUUUUAUUAAUAUUUCUAUUUUAGUAUAUUUUUGAAUUUUUAUGUUAUUUCUUCAUGAUUUCUUUAAAAGGUCUUUAGGAAUACUUUGUGUU